rnacentral:lncRNA from 1 species
UUCUACCCACUUAAAACACAUAAAUCACAAACCUAAACAAUAGAUGUACGGAACUGGAUGUACCACCACGGCGGACAAACUUCUUUGCAGAGAACAAGAAGAAGAGAUUGAAGCGAUUUUGUGGAGUUAAUCAGGUUCCUCGUUGAAAUAAUGCAGACUCCAUUGAAGAUGCAGAGAUAAGCUUCGAUUGUAGUGANNNNNNNNNNNNNNNNNNNNNNNNNNNNNNNNNNNNNNNNNNNNNNNNNNNNNNNNNNNNNNNNNNNNNNNNNNNNNNNNNNNNNNNNNNNNNNNNNNNNCUCUCUCUCUCUCUCGAUAUAUAUAUAUAUAUAUGUGUGUGUGUGUGUGUGUGUGUGUGUACACACAUAAUUAUAGCUAGAAUUUGAUUUUUUUGAUUUCUUAUAAUAGCUAGAGAAAGUGGAAAAACUUACUUUUGACAUAUUUACGGUUGAUGAGUUUUAUUCAUAUUCAUUUAAGUUUAUUCAUUAACUUAUUUAAAUUAUCCACUAACAAUUUAAUUCAUUAAUUACCUAUUACCCGUUAAAUUUUAUUCAUUACCUUUUAAAUCAACUUAUUUACCAUCUUUAAUUAUAAAUGCAUAAAACAUUGGCAUUGUUUUAGAAAAGAGAGAAAUUGAGAAGAGUGAUAAUAAAGUGAAUGCACUAAUUACUUAACAUAAAACAUUAGUAAUAUUUUUACAUGAUUCAUCCCUACAUAAAUAGUGAGUGGAUUUAACUUCUAUGUGUGAGAGAUUUAUAUAAAAAUAUUAUUUUAACACGUGAAAAAUAUCAAUUUCUUUACUUAAUCAAUAUUAAAAAAAAUAACUUUCAAUCUGUAACGUCUUAUUAAUUUUGAUUUGAGUAAUAAAUUCAAACAUGUGAGGCUGUGACCUUACAUAAAAAAUUAACCAAGAGUUAUAGAUUGAAAACAAGUGUCCCAUAGUUUUUCCUCAAGUUUCUUACCCGUUAACAUUUAAAAUGAAAUGAAUCCUUAAAAUUAAAUUGCAAUAAUAUCAGUGUUCUAAAAGUUAGCUUAGUCGGCCGACUAGUCGGUGAUUAAGUUGGGGUCGGAGCCUCAACGAUUCGACUAGGGCCUAGUCCUUUAAUUUAAUUUCUGCCCGAUUUAGUCGGGCUCCAGUCCGCGACUAGUCGGAAAAGUCGCCCAGUCGGAGUAAAUCAAAAAAUCAGAACAAGUCGGGAAAAAUCGAAGAAAAUCGGAAGAAGUCAAAAAUCGGAAAAAAUAGGAGCGGAUGAGGUCCUUCUACCUAGAAGAAGUGGUAUAAAUGUACGAGAACUAAAUGAAGACGAGUUUAUGUCGGGAGAUGAUGACAACGAAGAGGAAGAUGAGGAUUAUGAGUUUGAGUCCGAUGGAGAGCAAGUCUUGGAGUGGAGUGAUAUGGAGAGGAGGAGAAGUGAUUGACUAUUGAUUUUGUGCUAUUUAGUUUCAUUUGAUUAAUUGGUUUUGAACUUAGUGUCAAACUAUUUGGUUUUACUUAGUUUUCAUGUUUUUAUUUGAUGAUUUGUGUUACUUAUGUUAUUCUACUUAAUCAUAAUUUAUGAAGGAGGAAGGAUAAUAUAUAUUUUAAAAAAAUAAUUAAAAAUCCGACUAAUCGAUUAAUCUCCGACUAAUCUCCUAGUCUCUAGUCGGUAGCCAACUGACCUGGGACCGACUAGCAACUUUUAGAACACUGAAUAAUAUAAAUUCUAAAAAAAAAAGAGUAUAAAUUAAUUCAUUUGUUAUUUAGGUGAGAGAAGGUUAUAUAAAAAUAACAAUUUAUACAACAAAUUAAUUUUUUAUUAAAAAAAAUACAGCUAAGAAAAUUGUCAUUUUAUGUUGCAGUAUAAUUCCUGUGGUCCAUCGAGAUAUAGACAAUACACCCCAUGCAAAUAAAGUCGGAAAUAGUAAUUCAUUUUGGCGUACACACUCGAAACAUGAAACGGCAGUNNNNNNNNNNNNNNNNNNNNNNNNNNNNNNNNNNNNNNNNNNNNNNNNNNNNNNNNNNNNNNNNNNNNNNNNNNNNNNNNNNNNNNNNNNNNNNNNNNNNAAGUAUAAGAUAUUUACAAGUGUUAUCAAUAUCUUCACAAGUUUACUUUAGGUAAAUAGUAAAUCCAUCUCGUAUUCUUAUCAAAGCGAACUUAAUGAAAAACAUUUGUGAAAAUAAUAAUUUUUCGAGACGAGUCGUAGAUUCGAACGUUUUAGGAUCGAAUCACCAGUAAUAAUUUGUCAAGGUCAGAAAAAUGCUUCAUGAGACCUCGGGGACGCGGGCGUAAGUUCGUAUGAAAAGGUUGUCCUGAGUUUGUGGAGAUUAGUCCGACUACAAUUAAAACUCCCGAUUAUCAAAAUAAAAUUAAAAUAAUUCACUUGCGAAUUUUCACUAACAACAAGAAUUUCUUCAACAACAUUUUGGAGAUUUUUUUUUUCUUUUCCUUUUUGGAGAUUUGAGUAAUAAAAUUCAAUUAAUUUCAGAUUUCAUGGGCAAACAAUAGCCAUUAAAUUGUUAAAGUUGCAUCAAACAUGACCUAACCUUAAACUCUAAUAAAAGGACAAUUAACUUCUUUUUGUACAAACUUUAAAUAAACUAGACUAAUAGCACCUUUCAAAAUAGAGUAGAUUAAGUUGGAAUCAUUAAAUUUGUUAAAAUUAAUGAAAUACCCAAUGUAAUAAACAGGUUUUACUAAUUAUGCCAUUGAAUUUUAAUUUUUCAAAUUAUUUUAUUAAACUAAUUAUUAUUUUAAAUUGAGUUAUUCUGUUAAAAAAAAUAAACGAACUUUAAUUUAUUAUUGACAAAACCAAUGAAUUACUCAUUGUAGUCGACAUAUUUUACUGACCAUUGAACUUUUAAUUUUUCAAAUUAUCCCAUUAAACUAAUUAAUAUUUUGAAAUUAUGUCAUUCGGUUAAAAAAAAAUUAAGCAGACAUUAAUUUUUUUAUCUAUGUGGCUUUGGAAAAGAAAUUCAAAAAUAAAAAAUAUUACUUAUGUGACAAAAAAUAAUAAAAAACUUGAAAGUGGAAUCAAAAAAUCAAAAUAUUUUGGGUACUCUAAUCUCAGAUGUUUAUCAAUAGAAAUUUUUUUCUCACAAAUGAAAAGCAAUGCAUCAGCCGUAGAAAUGAAAACGCGAUAAUUGUCAACAUUUUACAUCUGUUUCUGAAUUAUCUUCGCAUUUAUCCGUAAAAACUCAGGCUCCUAUCAAACCAUAAAUAAAAUUCCAACAAAAUCAAUUUAACAAAAUAUUACUACUACAUGUAUAUAUAUAUAUAUAUAUACACACACAUAGAUAUAUAUAGAGAGAGAUUGAGGAAGGAGUGGACCUUGUGGAGGCGAUCGAGAGUGAAUGAAAGGAGUUCGGAUACAUAAGACUACUGAUAGUCGGAGGUAAGAGAGAGAAAAUCUACUGGAAUGCCAUUUAAUUUACUUCAUUUGUUGUUGUUGGGGAUUCAAACUCUAUUGUUAUAUCUAAUGCUGAACUUUGAAACUCAAUUCAAUAUUUUGGGUAUUCAGAUCUAGGAAUUUUCAUAGAUUUUAGAUAGAGAAAAUCGCAAAUCUAUUUGAUUUGGAAGAAGGGAGAGAAGAGAGAUGAGAGGAAGGAAGAGAGAGAAUAAAUCAAUUUUUUUUUCUUUUUUGCGUCCACCUAGGAUAAAAAUUGAAACGAUUCAACACUCGUGAGGUCUGUAACAUAAUGACUCAAUUUCAAAAUAUUAAUUAAUUUAAUGGGGUAAUUUAAAAAAUUAAAAGUUCAAUUGUGUAAUCAGUAAAACGUGUCAAUUUCAGUGAAAAUUUAUUAGUUUUGUCGAUACAAAAUUAAUGUCCGUUAUUUUUACGGAAUGACCCAAUUUCAAAAUAAUAAUUAAUUUAGUGGGAUAAUUUAAAAAUUAAAAUUUUUAAUAAUGUAAUCAAUAAAAUGUGUCAACUUAGAAUAAGUAUUUCAUUAAUUUUGCCCACUAAAUUUUAUACUAAUCUACUGCUUCCAUAUUAUAUUAUUUAAGUCUCUUUUAUCUCACUCUUUUAUGCUCGCAUUUGUUGUUGAGGUUCUGUCAUUAAUCUAUUUAUNNNNNNNNNNNNNNNNNNNNNNNNNNNNNNNNNNNNNNNNNNNNNNNNNNNNNNNNNNNNNNNNNNNNNNNNNNNNNNNNNNNNNNNNNNNNNNNNNNNNUCAUAUAUUAUUAUAGAAAAUAUAUAUUGUGAAUAUUUAUGAAUUUUUUAAUUGUCAAUUACAUAAAUAAAUAUUAAUUAUAAUCCUUUUAAAGAGAUAUAUACUAAGUGAGACUGUUUUAUAAUUUUAUCUAAUCUCAUGUAUUAAUAUGUUUUUAAUUAUAAUUAUUUGACAUAAAUUUAUCACAAUACAAAACUCUAUUAUUAUUCUAAUGUUUAAGAUGAAUUUUAAUCAUUAAUUAUAGAGGACAGGCAGAAAAAAAGAGCAUGAACUCUCAAAUAUCUCAAAAAAUUGACUUAUGGAAAAAGUUAAUAAUGAUUGAACUAAUAGGAACCUUAAGUGGAAAGUUAAUUAUUGAAUUAAUAGGAACCAUUAAUUUUCAAAAUAUAUUAUAAUUUAGCAUAAAUUUAUCAUAAUACAAAAUAAAAUUUUAUUUUUAUUUUUAUUCUAUUUUAUCACUUAAAGUGUUUUAGAUAUUGUGUCUUCCCUCGUUUGUUGAGAAGUAAUAAAUGACUAAUAUUUUUAAUUUGAAAUACUUGUAGUAGAUAAAGUAAAAUAAACUUUUAUAAUCAAUAUUACAUUCAUAAUUUGCAAAACUACAAUAUUCGUUAUUUAUAAUUCGCAAAACAAAAAUGAUGAGCAUGUUUUAAUCCGGAAAUCCUUUAUUCUUAGGCUAUGUUUGUUUGCAAGAAUUAUAUUUGGGAUAGAACUAUUAAUCUCAAGUGUCUUGUUUGUUUUCAAAUUUAAAUUUGGGAAUAUUAGUCUAAAAAUUAUAAAAUGACUUAAUAGUUUUUAGAUUGUAAUUAUAAUCCUGACAUUAUAAUCCUAGAAUUAAUAAUCUUGGAAUUAUAAUCCCAUAGAUUAUAAUCUCGGGAUUAUAAUUUUUGCAAACAAACAUAACUUUAAAUUAUCGGUCGCACGCUCUCAAAUUCAAUUACAACAUUAAUUAAAUUACUAAAAAUGGUCUUGCAUAUAUGUAAUAUGGGGAUUGUUAUUUUUAUUAGAAAAAAAAUAUUAUUUUUAUAGUAUUUUUUUUAUAUUUACAGUAAAUUAGUUCUACACGUAUAUUAUGAGAAAGAAUUUAUCAUUAUAUUAGAUCAUGAUAUUUUCAUGAUGAAUAUAUCAAUUUUUCAAUAGUACUCUUUCUUAAAUAUGUGACAUUUAAAAUUUUUUCACAUGAAUUAAGGAAGUUAUAACUCCUAAAAUUAUUCAUUAAAAUUAUAAUGUAUUACCAAAAACACCUUUGCAUAGAUAAAUGAAAAGUUAAAAAGUUAAACUAUAGGUGAUAAAAAUAAGACAGACAUAUUGUUAGAGGAUAAAAAAAAUAUAAGAAUUAAAGAGAGUAUACCGUUAAGAUAUUAAAAGAGGGAGAAAAAGUAGCUUUGAAUAUAUAGGCAGUAGAGCUCCACAACGAGGGUGUAUUAAGGUCAAGAACCAAGUUUGGUUUAGUCCAAUCCCUUAGCUAUCUUCAUGUGCAUAAGCCCAUUCUUUUUUUCUAACCAAGUUACUAAAUCCAAGCCAACAUGCACUAAUAUACACAAAGAAAGUUUUCAAAAUAGAUGAUAUGGGACUAUGUCAAAAUCACAUAAUAUUCACAUACACACAUGUAUAUUAUGGGUCCCUGCUUAAUAUAUGAGGUCCACAAUAUACAUAUGUGUGUAUGUCAAUAUUAUGUGAUUUUUUUUAUGUGAUAAUAACAUUAUUUGAGUCUGAAUUGAUGUGACCCAAAAAUUUUGUGGUCAUUUAUCAAUUGAGGACAAAUUUGCUUGUACGAUAAUUAGUGUUAUAGUUUGAUAAGCCAACUCAUUUGCUUUAUUCUCUCUUUUUUAUAGAAAGAGUAUUAUUUAUACAAACAUAUAUUUUAAUUUCAUGUAUAAUCUAAAACAUAAUAAAUUAUUAAUUUAGUAUUAUAGCAUGAUAAUAAAAUAAUUAAUUGGACCAUUUUUAUAAAAAUGAAUGAAUGACUGACAAAAAAAACUUUUUUCUUGAUGGAUGGAUAUAACCCAGCAAACUAAUAAUGGAAUAUGAUUUUUGUAACUUUGUGUAUAAAAAGUAUUAUUCCAUCAUUAAUUAAAUUAUUACCUUUUCUCUAUCAACUCAGUCGUCAUUCAUUCCAAAAGUGAACGUGAACUGAUUAAACAAAUGAAUCAAUUUUUAUUUUGGACAGUAUUAUUUGUAAUUUAUAAUUUCCAGAACGUGUAUUGUCUUGUAGUCUAAAAGAGUGGUAAUAGCAAAACAGAAAAGAUGGCAUGGCAUGAGCCAUGUCAUCGAAUUUUUUGUUGAACUCCAUGACAGAUUCAGCAACUUCAGCACGAAAGUUCUCCAGGAGAGCAGAUGAUGCUUUGAACUGGUCUGUCAGCGAACCUUCUUCACCAACCAAUCGCAUGCCCACAUAAGUUUCCAACGCCUGGAACUUCUCUUGCAGUUCAUUGAUCUGAAUAUUAUUGUUCGCUAUCGUUUUCUAACAAAGCUCUGAUACCAAUUGUCACACAGGGUGCAUAAUCUGACAUUAUUUUUCUUCGCGUCUAUGUCCUCCUUGUGAUACACUGGUUCGCCCAACCAGUCAACAACUUGUCAAUCACACAAGCCAACAGUGUUUACAGGACAACGUCCCAACCUUUUAUUGCUCACUCAAUAACAAGGAUUACAAUAUUUGACUAGGGCUCGCAGGCUACACUUGAUAAGUGAUCUCUCUACCUAGCCAAGCCCUUGGCUGUACAUAUAUAUACACAUUAGGUUGCAGUUGACACCCCCAACUGUUAGGUCAUUCAGAACAAAUAGGAAACCAAUAUUUUGAAUCAGCAACUGCCUGCCAACUGCCCACUAGCAAAUGUGUGCGUCCCAUGAUGUGCAACUGCCCAUCAACUGCUCCUCAACUGCCCACUAGCAGAUGUGUGCGCCCCUUGAUGUGCAACUGCCCAUCAACUGCCCACCAGUAGGUGUUAGGCGCCCCAUGAUAUGCAACUGGCUGGAGACAUGCCAGUCAUGUGCAUGAAGGUUACUGCCCACAACUGCCAGUUAGUUGGGUCAUGCUCCAGUCAUCCAAUCCAAACUGCUCAUUGUGUCAGCCCACUUUUUUGACGUCCUUCACCUACUAGUGUCAGCCCACAUUGUUGUUGUCUCAGCCCAUCUUUUUGAUGUCCUUCACCCACUAGUGUCAGCCCACAUUGUUGUUGUCUCAGCCCACGAAGUUGCCCAAUCAUGUUGCUACGAGAUGCUGUCCAUUUGGCCCACGAAUUUCCAUCUAGCCCAACACUUGCCCGAGGUGCUGUCCAAGUUUGCUGUGCACGUCCAGCCCAUCCACAUCCAUUAGCUUUGUUGCAUGCUGGGCUCCGCCCAUGCCAUGCCUUGACAUGCUAGGCGCACGCCUAUGCCAUGCCCAACCGAUGUCACGCUCAGCAACGUUCUUGCCCAGUCAUGUUCCACCCAUGACAAGGUCUUUGAUUCGAUCCAAGCAACCCAAUUCGAUGUUAGACAUUGUUGUAGGGGGACCCAACAAUGUCCCAACGUCCAACACGCAUCACCCAUGACACCUGCCCAUGGUCCCAGGUGACCUUCACGGAACACUCCCUUAUAGUAGCACUUAUGAAAAUUUUCAAAGUGCCAGCACUAGACAUCAGACUUGUCUGAGGAAGCAUAAUGCAAACUAUGUAGAUUUGUUAGUUUUCUGACAUAGCCCAUUUGCUGCACAAUGACCUAAUUUGCUGCCUAGUGUUGCCCACUGUUGCACAACACUGCUCAUUGUUGCUCAAAUGACUAAGUGUCAAGCUCGUUUGUCAACCAUGUGCGCCCAGUGUCCUUGGCUACCGAUUGCUACCGCACGCUGCUGUACACUGCCGCACACACACGUCUUGCCCUAUAAAUAAGUGCUAAGACUUGACUUGACAUGCUAUUUGGUCGUCUCACAUGCCAAACCCGUACCAACCCAUUAAAAGGCUAACAGUAGACCAAUAUGCAGUAUUUGCUGUGACAGUGAUGCUACUACUAGCAAUGGCACCACCACUUUGUACCAAAAUUAAUUUAGAUCUCAUAAAAAUGAAAUAAAGAAAAUUCUCCGACAUAUUUAAAUUAAUUUAAGAGAUUUAUUGUCAUUAUACGGCUUCUCUAUAUUAUUCCAUGUUUCAAUUUGUUUUAAAAUUUAAGAUAUAUUUUUAUUUUAUUUCAUAAAAAUUUUAUUAUUUGUCAUUACGUUUUUAUUAGUAUAUAAGGCGGCACCUGAAUUUCUUUUAUCAAGAACAAUCAAUAAUUUUGUCAUUCUCAUUUUAUAUAUAUAUAUAUAUAUUGAUUUUCUCUAAUAAAGUGGAAGGAGCGAAUUUUUUUUUAUAAAUAAUGAUUAUGUUGAGGUAAAAAUAUAAUCAACACCCGUGGAAAAUUAAAUUAAAGGGAGGUCCACUUAUAAAAUACAGAGGGAGAGGGAGGUUGAGGGGAUAAAUCACAUUAUUAAAUGUAGGGGAUAAGCAUGCAUGCAUUAUGCAUAGACAUUUUGGGACAAAUAUUUACGUGUUGUUCUUGUUGUGAAUUAUUAAAUAUUAUUUGUGAGCCGUGUUCACAUAUGGUAUUGUGUGAAUUGAUGUGGUACGAUUGCGCCCACAACGCAACAAUUUGGUACUCCAAAGAAUUAGCGAACAUACUCGUUACCUAUUCAUUGUCAAUUAGGUAUUGUGUGAAUUUAUUUAUUUAUUGAGCCGUAUUUAUAUAAUGAUGAUAUUGAUAUUCAUUGAACCGUGUUCAUAUAUGAUAUUGUGUGAAUUUAUUUAUUUAUUUAUAUUAUUUUUUCGAUAUAUAAUUUCAAUUCACUUGACAUAUUUUAUGUAACAUAAUUAUCCGUAAGAGAAGAUUGUGAGAAAUAUUUCUCAAACAUAAUUAAUUAUAUAUGAUGUAUAAUUUCAAUUCACUUGAGAUAUUUUAACACAAUUAUUAGUGGGAGAAGAGAAGAUUGUGAAUGAUAAAUUCUCAAACAUAAUUAUGAACAUGGAAUAUUUUGUGAGAGAAAUUCAUGGCUCUUGUGAUGGCACGUUUGAUAGAGUAUUAUUAUUAUUUUCGGUCACUUUCUUUUAGUGCUUUGCUCAAUCACCCAAUACCUGGGGUCAAGCAUCAAAUUAUAUCAACUUUGAAAAAGAAAUUUAUGUAUCAGGUUUAAUAUAAGUCCGUACAGGCGUACAGAAAUGUCAGAACCCAUAAUAUUUUUUCAAAAAAAAUAAAAUAAAAAGAAAAAGAAUAAAUAAUAUCAGUAGUGUGUGAUGAUCAAGAAUUUAACUUUGCAAGAAUAUAUUUCUACUAUAAAUCUCGUCUCUGAAACUUUUGUAAGUUUCAAUCAUAACCUUAGAAAUAAUAAUAAUUGCAUGCAUUCCAUUAAACAUUCAAAAAAUGAGCCAAUUGAUUUAGAGUUACUAAUCUUUCAUUGACCAUACUUAUAUACUCCCUUCAUUUCAUAUGAUAUGACGUAGAGUUAUUAAUUUUUUAAAUUAAGCUUAAAAUAUUUUCAAAUUAAAAUUGGCGUAUAUUCUUUUAAAUUUAAUUAAUUUAUUAAUAAUAAAUAUUAUAAAAUAUUUAAAAAGUAUUAUUCUAUGUAAGUUUUAGUGUUUCAAAAUUUUUAAAGAGCACUACAAUAAAAUAUAUUUUUUUUAAUGAAUUUUUUUUUAUCGAAAAUAAGUUAAUUCCGUCAAAGUUGGUGUAUUUCCGACAGAGUUUCUUGUUGGAAAUUCGGUUGGAUAUAAAUUGAUCGGAGAUCAGUCCGUCGACAAUUUGGUCGGAACUAUUUAUUUCUAAUGGAAUUAUUUCUGAUUACCACUUCGUCAAAUAUAAGCUAUUUCCGGCGAAAAUAUUUUUGAUUGAAUAACUCUGUCAAAUUGAAAGCCUCCACGUGUCACACUCUUAGUAAAUUAUGCAAGAUUGUUUCAGACGGAAUUUUCGUCGAAAAUAAUAAUUUUUUAAACUAAUUUUUAUUUGUUUUUUCAAUUUUCAAGUUUUUAAACCACAUUUUAAUUUGUACCUGUAAAUCUACUUUAUCCUAACAACAUAUACAAUAAUCUAUAUCAAGAACACAUACAACGUAACUAUACCAACAACAACAUAUAUACAUAUCCCCAACAAUAACAAAUAUAAACUAAUUUAUGAUAAGUUAAACAAAAAAUUGUUUAAAACUACGAUGAUUUACAAAACAAAACUAAUUAAACUAAAUAAAGAUAAACUACAAUGAUUUACAAAAAUCAAGUUAAACUAAACUAAAUAGAGAUAACUUAAACUACAAUGAUUUCAAAAAUUAAAUCAAGUUAGUACUACCACCGAUGUGAGGAGGAUUAUCGGACGGAGAGUGACGAUGUUAUUUUGUUGUCUGAAAAUCAUCACUAUCAUCCCCCCGCAAGGCAUCACCACCAUGUUCAGCAUUGCCACCUUGUUGAUAUAAUUAAAAAUAUAACUUAUUAGUCCGUAAUUGAGAAUUAAAGAGAGAUCUAAAGGAUAAUUAAAUAACAAGCAAAAUAUACAACUUAAAAUGUAAGACCCCGACUUUUAUGAAAUAAAAUUUAAUUUUUUCUUAUAAUUAUUAUUCUAAACAGUAAGAUGUUAAAUUGAUAAAAUAAUAAAAUUAAGGAUGAUAUGUGCAAAUUAUAAUAAAAAGUAUAUCGAAAAAUAUUCGUUUUGUUGGGGAAUAUUUGGUAAAGUAAGACGUUGCCGAAACAACCAAUCAUUGGUGGCCCCCACGAUGACGUAACUUUCGAAUACCGAAAACGAUAGAGAUAGCCUUUUUAAUAAAAAAAAUUGUCAAUAUAUAUGUGGUACUAUCACUUUUAACUGUUUAUAUACCAUGUGAUAAAAGUAUAGUAGCACGCGGUAUUUUCCAGUAGCACACGACAUUCCACAACAUAACACGAUAUUACACAAUAUUUAAUAUUAUUGCUUUAAUAAUUGUUACAAUAGCAAUUGCAUAGUAGUCUAACUCAAUAAUUGUUACAAUUGUACAAUAUUUCAUAUUAUUGAAUCAAUAAUUGUCAUCGUAGUAAGAGAAGUAAUGAAAAAUGUGACACUCCCAAAAUAGGCAUACAUCACUUAUUCUGAGUCACCAAAUACAUGGUACAAAAUACAAAUACAAUCUUUAAUAUACAACAAGAAAGCUGUGGGUUUUAAUACAAAUAUUGUCUUAUAGACAAUAUCCACUCUCAGAAUAAGUCCUCAUUACAUUUAUUAUCACACUAUUUAACAGAAUAGUGAGGACUACUAAUACUAUCAUCUGGACCGUCACUCCGUUUUUCGACUAGUCUCGGCUACGUUCUCAUUUCCUGAAGAGAACAGUGAAGGAAAGGGUGAGCUCAACUAGCCCAGUAAGAAAUAUUAUGACUAAGAUAAUGCAGAAUAAAUUAUCAUUAGUCUUCAACAAUGUUAAACUGAUAAAAUACAAUAGACAUCAAGUUUAACUGCAGCGGAACAAACAAUCCAUUAAAAGAGUCAAGUAGAGAAUAAACUCUACUAUCUUUUAUNNNNNNNNNNNNNNNNNNNNNNNNNNNNNNNNNNNNNNNNNNNNNNNNNNNNNNNNNNNNNNNNNNNNNNNNNNNNNNNNNNNNNNNNNNNNNNNNNNNNNNNNNNNNNNNNNNNNNNNNNNNNNNNNNNNNNNNNNNNNNNNNNNNNNNNNNNNNNNNNNNNNNNNNNNNNNNNNNNNNNNNNNNNNNNNNNNNNNNNNNNNNNNNNNNNNNNNNNNNNNNNNNNNNNNNNNNNNNNNNNNNNNNNNNNNNNNNNNNNNNNNNNNNNNNNNNNNNNNNNNNNNNNNNNNNNNNNNNNNNNNNNNNNNNNNNNNNNNNNNNNNNNNNNNNNNNNNNNNNNNNNNNNNNNNNNNNNNNNNNNNNNNNNNNNNNNNNNNNNNNNNNNNNNNNNNNNNNNNNNNNNNNNNNNNNNNNNNNNNNNNNNNNNNNNNNNNNNNNNNNNNNNNNNNNNNNNNNNNNNNNNNNNNNNNNNNNNNNNNNNNNNNNNNNNNNNNNNNNNNNNNNNNNNNNNNNNNNNNNNNNNNNNNNNNNNNNNNNNNNNNNNNNNNNNNNNNNNNNNNNNNNNNNNNNNNNNNNNNNNNNNNNNNNNNNNNNNNNNNNNNNNNNNNNNNNNNNNNNNNNNNNNNNNNNNNNNNNNNNNNNNNNNNNNNNNNNNNNNNNNNNNNNNNNNNNNNNNNNNNNNNNNNNNNNNNNNNNNNNNNNNNNNNNNNNNNNNNNNNNNNNNNNNNNNNNNNNNNNNNNNNNNNNNNNNNNNNNNNNNNNNNNNNNNNNNNNNNNNNNNNNNNNNNNNNNNNNNNNNNNNNNNNNNNNNNNNNNNNNNNNNNNNNNNNNNNNNNNNNNNNNNNNNNNNACCAUGCAUGCGGUACUUCGCAUAGACAGGUUAUUCCAACAGAAUAAUAAAUAACGGAACCAGGUCCGGCGUAAAACGUACAGACAGGAUAUUCCAACAGAAUAAUAAAGACGGAACCAGGUCCGACGUAAAAGCACAAACAGGAUAUUCCAACAGAAUAAUAAAGAAUGGAAUAACAGAAGAAUUUCACCAAGUAUAGGGUAGACCGCGUAUACAGGUUAUUCCAACAGAAUAAUAAAUAAUGGAAUAACAGAAGUUCUCUUCAUGAAUACUAAAGAAAUAAUACCCCUUACCUUAUAAAGAAGAGUACUCCGACGGUAGGGCGGGGAUAUACUUGAAGAAACUUUUAUUACGCUCAAAGCUUUCUUAAAUGCUAAAGAAAUAAGUUCAAGAUUAUAGAAGAAUAAUUCUCUCUACAGCUUCUCUCUCUAGAGUUUCAGUGAAUUCGUAAGAAAUAAUGAAGGAAUGAGCUUCUAUUUAUAGAAGAAUGGACUGAAUAGUAACCAAUCCAUGAACGGUCCAGAUCGAUUUACUUUAAACGGACGGUCCAGAUUGGUUUACAAUAAAAUAUAAUAUAUUCUAUUUAUAAUCUAAUUAAACGAAUAACUUUUAAAAAGAUUUUAUUAUGCAAAUACUAUGCAGGCACUAUNNNNNNNNNNNNNNNNNNNNNNNNNNNNNNNNNNNNNNNNNNNNNNNNNNNNNNNNNNNNNNNNNNNNNNNNNNNNNNNNNNNNNNNNNNNNNNNNNNNNNNNNNNNNNNNNNNNNNNNNNNNNNNNNNNNNNNNNNNNNNNNNNNNNNNNNNNNNUGGGGUCCACCAAUGAUUGUGCCGUCGUACGAAUAUUCCCCGACACAAAGAAUAUUCCCCGACCAAUCGAAUAAUAUAACAACUUGCAUACUUUGCAAAAUUUAUAAAUAUUACCCACAACUAUAACAUUAUAUUAAAUCCACACCUUAAUAUUCAAAACUUUUUUUGAGAAAUUUAAAUCUUUAUUCGUAAAAUUUGGGAUUUUACAAAAAAUUUCAACAUAAGUAUUAAGUAAUUAGACAGACUGACUACAAGAAAAAAAAUCUCAAUUCGGACAGAAUAUUCCGCCGGACAUAGCUAUUCCGUCUGAAAUUGAGUAAUUAGCCGACAUAAUCAAUUAUUUGAAAUUGACUUUCAAAAGUCAAUACUGAUCUUAUAAUUUAGAACAUAGUACUUCUCUAUUCUAACAUAUAAGAUCAUUAUUGACUCUCUUUUUUGUCAACUUAAGAUAUUUUCAAAUUUAAAAUUAAUGUGGAUUCUUUUAAUUUUUGUUAAUAUGGUAGUGAAUAUUGUAAAUUACUUAAAUAGUAGUACUACACAUUUCAUAAUUUUUAAUGAAUCAUCUCAAUUUGUGAUAUAUAUUGAUUUUCAAAAGUCAACAAUAAUUUUUUAAUUUGAAACAGAUGGAGUAGUAUAUAUAUAUAUAAUUGCAUAAAGAAAUCUCUUCUGAAUCUUUCGCAGACGACAAGUAAUUACUGUAAAUGUAGGCCUAGUUGCAGCAUCUUCAUCCCCUGAAAGUUGUAUGAGCUCAUUUAGUUCUUCAUCUUGUUGCUCUAUAAUUGCUGGCCUUAACUUAUCCUCUGCAAAUUCCAAAACAAUUUGUCCACAAAAAUAUUAAUGCAUGUAAUUAAAUAUAUUUAUUAAUUACAAAAACGUCGUAUAAUAUAUUAAUUUAAUUUUAUACGUACUUUUGAAGGACCAUAAUUUGUCUCAAUGUAGGGAUGUUCACCACUUACGAGCUCGUUAAGUAUAAUCCCAAAGCUAUAGACAUCACAUUUUUCAUUGUAAGGCUCACAUCUCAUCACCUCCGAAGCCAUGUAUACGUAUGUUCCUGUAAAAUUAGAGAAAAAUAAUGUUUAAAUGUAGUAAUUGAUAUAUAUUUUUACAAAUAAAAAUUUUAGUUCCACAAGUUAUACCCUACUUGAAUAGUCAGUAAUUGAUAUAAUGUUUAAAGUAUAAUGUUUAAAUGUUAGUAAUUGAUAUACAACAUUUUUUUUAUAGUCGUGACAUGUGACCCAACAAUUUUUAACUUCACUGGAUUAAUUCUAUAACUUUAGGGUUGUCACAAUGUUGAAAAAUGGUCAAUCAAUUAAGUACUUUCCUGUUUCACCGGUGAGUGCCUUUUCACCAUCAGUCAAAAACAGAGCAUGUCCAAAAUCCGUAACCCUAACAUGGAAUGCAUCAUCCAAGAAAACAUUACUGGGAUUCAAAUCCCUAUGAAUGAUCAUAGGCUUGUUGUUAGAAUAUAGGAUCACACACACGCACACAAACGAUGGAGAAUUAAGAAUAACACAAGAGAUUUACGUAGUUCCUUAAUUUGGGUACUCCACAGGCGUCUUGUUGUUUAUUGAUGAUUCCUUGAUUACAUAGGGUUUUACAAUAGAUAGUAUUUAUAACUACUAAUCCUAUUCCAACCCUACUUCACAUUAUGUCUCAAUUACCCAUAAUGUCCCUAUAAUAAAUAGCCCAGAAAAAACUCCUGCACCAUACCGCGACCUUCGCUACAACCCUGAUGGGCUAGUGCGUCGCUUCGCUCCGCUAUGAUCCGCACUAGCCUUUUCCAGUGACUUCUAUAUUAUGAGUCACAAGUUUUCAACAAAUCUCCACCUUGACAAAUAACCUCGUCCAUUCCGAAGAUAAGUCACUUGUCCUAUCCGAUCUUGGGGGGAAUCCUCCAAACUAACAUUCAGAGAUAUUGAUCAAGUCCAAGCAAUGCUUGAACUUAUCCCCGGUCACAGUCUUUGUCAACAUGUCAGCUGCAUUUUCAGAAGUGUGCACUUUUUCCAAUAUCACAUCCCCAGUAGCUAUCAGUUCCCUCACCUUGUGAAACCUUACGCUAAUAUGCUUGGUCCUUGCGUGAUACACUUGAUGCUUUGCCAAGUAAAUGGCGCUUUGACUAUCACAAUACAGCUGUACUCCACCUUGAUCUAUGCCCAACUCAUUCACAAAACCCUUCAACCACAAUGCUUCCUUGCCAGCUUUAGCCAAUGCCAUAUACUCAGAUUCAGUAGUAGAUAUAGCUACUAGAGAUUGAACCAUGGAUCUCCAACAAAUCGGUCCACCUGCAAGUGUAAACACAUACCCUGUUGUAGAGCUCAAAUCAUCCAACCUUCCAGCAUAAUCCGCAUCCACAUACCCUACAACUGACAUCUGAGCUUGUUACUUCGCAAACAUAAUCCCAUGAUUUGUCGUUCCUCUUAGAUAUCUGAACACCCACUUAACAGCUUUCCAGUGCUCUCUACCUGGAUUGGCCAUGUAUUUGCUCACUGUGCUGACUGCAUAUGCCAAAUCAGGUCUUGUACACACCAUCGCAUACAUCGAACAACCAACUGCGCUCGCAUAGGGCACGUUCGACAUAUCCUGAAUCUCUUCAGCCGACUUUGGACACUGUGCUGUAGAUAACCUGAAGUGACUCGCCAAUGAAGUGCUGAUCUGUUUAGCAUUAGCCAUACUAAACCUCUCCAACACUUUCUCCACAUAAUUCUUUUGUGUUAACCACAACUUUCCAGCUGUUCUAUCCCUGCGAAUCUCCAUCCCUAGUAUUUUCCUAGCGGCACCCAAGUCCUUCAUGUCAAACUCCUUUCCCAACAAGUUCUUCAACCUGUUGACUUCAACCAUGCUCUUUGCAGCAAUAAACAUGCAUGUCAUCCACAUACAGUAACAAAAAAAUACAGGAACCAUCCUCAAGACUUUUCACAUAAACACAACAAUCAUACUCACAUUGAGUAAACCCAAUCCGGAUCAUGAAGGAAUAAAACUUCUUGUACCAUUGUCUUGGAGACUGUUUCAGCCCAUACAGUGACUUCUUCAACCUGCAUACCAUGUAAUCAGUCUCUGGCUGCUUGAACCCCUCAGGCUGAUCCAUGAAUAUUACUUCCUCCAAAUCACCAUGAAGAAAGGCUGUCUUCACAUCUAGCUGAUCUAACUCCAGGUCAUAGCUAGCCACCAAUGCCAAAAUAAUCCUGAUUAAGGUAUGUCUCACCACCGGAGAAAAUAGCUCAUCAUAGUCAAUCCCCUUCCUCUGCGAGUAUCCCUUUGCUACCAAUCGAGCCUUAAAACCGUUCCUUUUCCUUUUCUGAUACAACUUCUUUUUUCUUGUACACCCAUUUGCACCCCACUGGUUUCUUUCGCUCAGGAAAUUCUGACAAUUCCCAAGUUUUAUUUUUCUUCAAUGACUCCAUCUCCUCCACCAUGGCCUCCAUCCAACUGUCCCUUUCAGAACUGGCAAUAGCUUCCUAAAACGUAGACGGAUCCCCACUAGUAGUAGAUAAAGCAUAUGCAACCAUAUCAUCAAACCUGUACCUCUCCGGCGGUUUGAUAGUGCGUCUGGGUCUCCUUGCGGCUAUGCUUUCGUCCUGUUGCUGCUGAUUUUCUUGUUCCACUGGUGGUGAAUUUCCAGUGUCAUAACUCUCUAGUUCAAUUUGAACUUCCUGAUGCUGUUUGUCGGUAUCUUCACCAGCCUCGAUUUUCUGACCUUCCUGUUGUGUCCUAACCAUGGAAGCCUCGUCAAAAACCACAUCCCUACUGAUCACUGCCUUCUUUGCUUUCGGACCCAAAGCUUGUACCCCUUCACACCUUUCUUAUACCCAAGAAAGAUACACUGUUUGGACUUAGCAUCAAUCUUAGAUCUCUCAUCACCUAGAACGUGUACGUAGGCUGGACAUCCGAAGAUCCUCAUACCCGAGUAAUCCACUUCUUUGCCUGUCCACACCUCUUGUUCCACUUUAUUAUCCAAAGCAGUACUCGGUGACCUGUUUAUUAUGUAAACUGCCAUGCUCACUGCUUCUACCCAGAAAUCCUUCAAAAGCCCUGCAUUUAGCCUCAUGUACCGUGCCUGCUCUGCUAUAGUUCUGUUCAUUCUUUCUGCCACCCCAUUCUGCUGUGGAGUCUUCUUAACAGUCCAGUGACGUUGUAUCCCGUGGUUCUCACAAAACUUCAAAAAUGGCUCGUACUUGUACUCAGUCCCAUUAUCUAACUUGAGGCACUUAAUUUUUCUUCCUGUUUGAUUUUCCAUUUCAGCUCUCCACACCCUGAAUUUUUCGAAGACCUCAGACUUGUGUCACAUGAAGUACACCCAAACCUUUCUCGAAAAGUCAUCGAUGAAAGUUAAGAAAUACAGCGAUCCCGCUUUUGAAGCUACUCUCACUGGCCCCCAUACAUCAGAAUGCACAUAGUCAAGUUUUCCAUUCGUUUUGUUCACCGCACUCUUAAACUGCACCUUACACUAUUUUCCCAAGACAUAAACUUGCAGAAAUCUAACUUACAUGACUUUAUCCCUUUCAACAGAUUUCUUCUAUGUAAUUCCAGCAUCCCACGUUCUCCCAUAUGCCCCAACCGCAUAUGCCAUAGUGUAGUAUCAUCAAUAUCCUCCACUUUAGUGGCAGUUGUAAUGACCCCAAAUUUCAUACAAUUCAAUUACCAACUUCGGUCGUUAAUAAUACGUCUAACUUCUGAUUUUACAUCAUUGUUCGAUGUUAAACUUAAUAAUAUGCGAAAUAAUUUAAACUUUUCUAUCUUCUUACUUUAAUUUCCUAAAUCAAAACCUUUAUCAUCUAUGUCUUUGAAUCAUAUAUAAUCCAUGAUUCACUUCAUCACAGUUAUUAUAUAAAAUUUUACAUUUCAAUUCGAUAACCUUUGCAUAUCAGAUAACUCAAACUUUAACUUUACUACUCAACAUAAAACUAUACAUCAUAAAACAUUUAGUACAACUCAUGAAUCUUAAUCAUGGUUUAAAGAAAUAACAACUUUAGCUAAAAUAUUAAUCUUCGUGUAUUAUUUCUGAUCCACGUCAUUCAAGUAGCACAUAGUGUUACCUUCAAUCCUUAACCUGGAGCUCGACAACCCAGCAAAUCUAACAGUUUUCCUGCAUCACGUAACACAUAAUAACAUGCUUAUCAUACAUCUCAUAAACAUUAAACUAACAUAACAAACAUGUUACAGUUCACAUAACAAGUAUAAAGAUUGAGUUCCUUACUCAAUCAGCAUUCAUUACUCAAUCAACGUAGUCAUAAAUUGACUUUAAUGUUUCAUACAUUCAACAUAUAUAUAACACAUCAUGCUCUUUGCAAUAAAGAUUUAAAACAGUUAAUUAUCAAGUUCACAUAACAAAUAGGAACUGAAAGACUUGCCUUGAUCGUUGUUUACCAAUAACAGUUUAACAGCUUACAGAUAUUUGCACUUCACGUGCCCUACACAAUUAUAUAAUCAUUCACAUUAACUAUUAAUUACAUAGCAACGUAUAGUAGUUGUAAUGUAAACUUUAAUCUACAUCCUAUAACCCUUCCUAUUAAUCAAUACACAAUGUUCAAUUUGAUUGUGUUAACUUUAGACUUAUAACUCACUAUAUUUCUUCUUAGUUAAACUCGAAGUUCAUUCAAGUGUUUAAGUCUUACUAGGACUACUUAUUGAUUUUAUAUUAACCCUAUUCAAUAUCUUAUAAUAUUCAUUUCAUUUGAUUUAAAACACUUUUUACGUUCAUUAACACUUAUCAUGGCGUUUCGACGUUUAAUUAUUCAUUACAUGCCCAAUUUGCCUCUCUUGUGUGUGCUUAAUAUGCGUAUACAACUUAUCCAAUAUAUCAUUUAUUAAUGUUAAGCAUCAUUAUACUUCAUAAUAUUCAUGUUCUAUAACUUAGAACAACAUCUAUUAUCGUCGACAUCACUAUACUUGUGUAUGUGCAUGUCCGACGCCCUUCGAUUGCCUCCGAAUACGCAUCAGUCAUAAAGAUGACCAUUUUGACUACUGUUCCCGACCUCAAAUUUAAAACCUUAAAGAAUAAAAGUUGUAGGUCUAUUCGUCCGCGUUCCGGAUCAUAUUGAAUCGCCUCAAUCGGAGUUUGUAUGAAAACGUUAUGUCUAUUUUACUAAAAUAGGUCAAAAUAGUCACACCUAACAUAGUUUGGGCGCAGCUGCGCCCAAUUAAGCCUUGGGCACAGAGCAGCUGCGCCCUAGAGCGUAGCUGCACCCCAAAUGACUUAGGGCACAGCGCAGCUACGCCCGUUAGCAGAAACGGGACCUGAAGUUACUGUUCAUGCUAUUUUUUGACCCUUUUCUCCUACUAAUCUUCAUAACUUGAGUUAUACACAUCCAAAUUAGUCCGUUUUUGAUUCUAUGGAUUCAUAAUUCAUAGAACUACAACAUACUAGAAUUAUAAUAAUUUAUAGAAACACUAACUAGCCUAAAUCUUGACCCAAAACUUAUGUUCAUAUUAGUUUUAUAUGUUUUAACAUAUUUAGCAUAAUCAUUCACCACAGAUUCGAUUCCUAACCAAAUUAAUCCAUUUAACCUUCGUUGUUUUUUUAAUUCAAUAUACUAACAAUAUCUAUAAUCAAUUUUAGAUUAAAUCAUGAUUUCAUCAUCAAUUUUGAUUCCAAAACAAGCCCUAACGUACAUAUAUCUAUAAAACUCAAUUUCUUCUUGUUUAAUCAUACUUUCAUAAAUUUGAUCACCCUAAAACCACUUUUAGAUUAUAUGAAACGAAUUAAAUAUAACCAUUAACAUGUAUAACCACUUCCUUAAAAAAAACCAUGCAUCAAAACCAUCUACAGAUAACUAAUUCUAGAAAAUAAGAACUAUAACUAGAUUAUUACCUUGAUUCCUCUUUAAACAUAGAGAGUGGAUGAUUAAAAAGCUUUGAUUGAAUCAUCUUCUUCCUUCACAACUUUUAGAUUUCCCUUUCUAAUUUAUAGAGAACUCAUACUGUUCUGCCUUACCAUAUGAAUACUCAGCCAAAAAUAAGCGUAUGUUUUAUUUUUGCAUUUGGUUUCCCAAUACGUUACUAGAAAUCUAUAGUAUCGAUAGUUAGGAAUAAUAAGGGUUUCAAGGCCAUGUUUGGCUAGAACUCAAUUAUUCUCUCCUAACUUAUUUUUAUAAUUCCCUUUAACAAAUGAUUUAUUCAUGUCACAACCAUUAACGAAUUCUAAUAUUUUAAAUUAAAUUAAACCUUAUUAUUAUAAUUUUAAUUUCUAUUAUUAUAAUUAUAGUUUCUAUUUAGCCAACCAUAAUUAUAAUUUUAUUCAACAAAUCAAUCCAUUAAUUUAAUUAUUAGAUUAAAUUGAAUAUUUCCAUCAAAUAUUUAUUUUACUCAAUAAAUAUUCCAAUUAAAAUAUUUAUUUUAUUUAAUAAAUAUUUUAACUAUUUACAAAAUUCACAAUCAUAUUACAUUAACGUACCACAUUUAUAUAUAUAUAUAUAUAUAUAUAUAUAUAUAUAUAUAUACUCUGUCAUUUUAUUAAAAUAAAUAUAUUCACAUUAAUUCAUUAUUUUUACUAAGUGAAUUACUCACAUUAUUUAUGAAAUUUAAUUCAUAACAAUUCCAUCGCCAAUCAAGGCAUACCAAUUAAAUUAUAUUAUUCCACAAUAUAAUUUCCAUCUUAAUCAACUAAUAUUAUUCAGUUAAUUUCUUUUGCCACCAUUUUCCUAUUUCAUAACUAAUUAUUUGCUUCACUUUCUUCAAUAGUUUAAUCAACUAUUAAAUCUCAUAAAAAUUUAAUUUUUUCACACUAAAACACAUAAUUCAAUAUACAUCUCAUAAUAAGAGUUUUAAUUAUUAAAUUCUUUUUUUAAUAAUUUAUAAAAUUCGGGUUGUCACAGCAGCAACUCCACCUACAACUGUACUCCAUAUCAUCCGAUAGAUAUUUCCGUUGACCUUAGAACCUUUCAUUAUUACCGGUGCACCCUUCGUCACUCUCAUGGCUCCACCACCAGUUUUGAACUCACAGCCAUUAGAGUCCAGGGUUCCUAAUGAAAUCAAAUUCUUUCUUAAACCUGGGAUAUGUCUCACCUCAACCGGAGUUCUCACAACACCAUCGAACAUCCUUAUCUUCAGUGUGCCUAUUCCAAUGACAUUGCACGAAGCAUCGUUACCCAUUAGAACUGUCCCACAGUUCACCAAUUUAUAGGUGUCAAACCACUCCCUGUUAGGUGUCAUGUGAAACGAACAUGCUGAAUCCAAAAUCCACGAGUCUGUCACGUCCGUGUUUGUUGAAACUGACAACAUAUCCCCAUCAUCCCAUGAUUCCUCCACGACGUUUGCCGAUUUUGUAGAUUCUAAUUGCUUCCCUGUUCCUUCACCCUUAUUCUUGUAUGGACAGUCCUUUUUGAAGUGUCUUGUCUCGCGACAUCUGUAACACUUGUACUCCUUAGGCUUAGGAGUCCUGCCCAUCGACUUCGAUUUCCCCUGCGUUAUUGGUUUACCUCUAUUCGAUUUUCUGCCACGUUGCUCUCCACCUUUUACCACCAGCCCUUCACCCGAAAUACCCUCGGAUUGUUGCUUCCGUUGGUUAAACAUUAGUAGAGCAGAAGUGACUUCUUCCAACUUCAGAGUUUCUUUUCCCCAUAGGAGAGUUGUUACAUGAUUCUCCAUGGAACCCGGUAGAGAACACAGUAACAUCAACGCCUGGUCUUCUUCCUCGAAUUUCACUUCAAUCCUUAGCAAGUCGCUAAUUAUUUGAUUGAACGUGUGAAUGUGUUGAAUAAGCUUAGAACCUUCAAUCAUCUUUAACCCAAAUAGUUUUUGCUUCAGAAACAGUUUAUCUGUCAAUGACUUUGACAUAUACCUGGAUUCCAAUUUACUCCAUACACUCGAUGGCGAUUCAUCACCGAUCACGUGAUACAUAACCUCGUUUGCCAGGCAUAAGCGAAUUGUACUCGCUGCCUUCGCUUGGAGUUCAUCCCAGUCAUCAAUCAUCAUGUACUCCGAUUUCUUCAUUAACGCCUUCAUCAAUCCCUGCUGCACCAACAGAUCCUUUACCCUCUGUUGCCAUAGCCCAAAAUUCCCAGUCCCAUCAAACUUCAUCAAAUCAAACUUUGUCACCGAUGAAUUUGAUGUCAUUGUUCUUCAUGUGUUAAACCCAAGCUUUGAUACCAAUUUGUUAGAAUAUAGGAUCACACACACGCACACAAACGAUAGAGAAUUAAGAAUAACACAAGAGAUUUACGUGGUUCCUCAAUUUGGGUACUCCACAUGCGGCUUGUUGUUUAUUGAUGAUUCCUUGAUUACAUAGGGCUUUAUAAUAGAUAUAUAGUAUUUAUACCUACUAAUCAUAUUCCAACCCAACUUCACAUUAUGUCUCAAUUACCCAUAAUGUCCCUCUAAUAAACAAUCUAGAAAAAACUCCUGUACCGUACCAGGGGUGGCACCCCCUGCAACCCUGAUGGGCUAGUGCGUUGCCGCUAUUGUAAGACCCCAAAUUUUAUGAAAUGAAGGUAUUCAAUUUUCUUAUAAUUAUUAUGUUAUUUAGCAAAUGGUUAAAUUGAUAAAGGUUAAAGUUAAGGGUGAUAUUUGAAAAUUUUGCAAAGUAUGCAAGUUGUUAUAAAAUAUUCGUUGUGUCGGGGAAUAUUCAAUUGGUCGGGGAAUAUUCGUUUUAACAGGGAAUAUUCGUAAGACGACAUAAUCAUUGGUGGACCCCACAACGGAAGUAUUGUCGUAAAACGACAGAAUUAUCUUUUUAUAAAAAUAACGGCGAAAGUAUUACCGUUAAAACUAUUGAACUACCCGGUAGUAAAAGUACAGUAAUACGCGUAGUUGCAUAAUAGCACAUGGUAUUGAUUAUUGAUGCUUACGUAAGAAGUCACUCAGUUAUACUCAAUUAUUGCUACAGUAAUUGCUGCAUCAUAUCUCUCAUAUUAGUGAUUCAAUUAUUAUCACAGUAUCAUAUGCAUAAUAUUUUAUAUUAUUAAAUCAAUAAUUGAGACGACAAAGUUAUUCAUAUUAUUAUUUGCAAUAUUGACAAUGUCUAGAAGUUCUGUCAAGGAGAGGUUUGGUCAUCUAAUUGCGCGCCAAUAGGGAGAAAUCCUUAUUGAAAAGCCGCCUCUUUCCUUGGAAUGACAUGGUUGUUAAAUAUUGUGAGUUAUAAUAUUAAUGAUGAAUAAGUUCGUGUUGAUUAAAGAUGAAAUUGAUAGUUCCAUUGUGUGGGAAUUAUUAGUGUUAGUGGAAAUCGACAUUUAUUUCGAUAAUAAUUGAUGUCUGGAAGUUAUAUUGACCAAUCGGGUAAUUCACUGGAUAAAUGAGCAAUUAAUUGCUAUUAAUUCUCAUGUUUAUAACUAUGUGUUCACAUGUGUGUACUAUUGAUUCACAUAAUUUACUAUUAGGGGAGCUGAUGCAAGAUUGAUAAUACUUGCAUGACUAAAUUAAAAAUGAAGGUAUAGAUGAAGGUACUAUACUAUAAUUAAUUUUUAUCACAUGUUUAGAACUAUUGAGUCACAUGAUUUAUGUGACACCCCCAAAAUAGGUAUACAUCACCCAUUGAGUCGCCAAAUACAUGGUACAAAAUUCAUAUACAACUUAAUUAUACAAUAGUCGUGUAAGAUACGACAAAACAUAAUAUAAUAGUUUUAAUAAGAAUAUUGUCAUCUAGACAAUAUCCACACUUAAUGGAGUCCUCAUUACAUUUAUUAUCACAUUAUUUAACAGAAUAGAGAGGACUACUAAUGCUAUCAUCUGGACCGUCACUCCGUUCCCCGACUAGUCCCAGCUAUAUUCUCAUUUCCUGAAGAGAACAAUGAAAGCAAAGGGUGAGCUCAACUAGCCCAAUAAGAAAUAUUAUGACUAAGAUAAUGCAGAAUAAAUUAUCCUUCGCCUUCAACAGUAUAACAAUUGAUAGAAUAUAAUAGACAACAAGUUUUAACUGCAGUGGAAUAAGCAAUCCAUUAGAAGAGUCAAGUAGAGCAUAAAAUCUACUAUCUUCUAUGAUUUAAAAAGAUUUUCAUCAACUUUAUUGCUGAGACUCAGCUUAAUAAAUAAACCACAGCAUCCCUACACCACGGCCAAGGAUAUUUAUGUAAUCAUCAAGGGUCAUGAUUAUACCGAAUAAUCCCUGGUUAUAAUCAUACCUACAACUGUCCAUCAAUGAACUACAGGCCAAUGAGGACUUUUACCACAUCAUUCGUCACAUCACGGUCAUGAUUAUACCGAAUAAUCCCUGGUCAUAAUCAUACCAAGUCGAUCAAUACACGUAAGCCUAAGAUGACUUUAAUCACAAUAUAAGCAUGAGGAUGAUGACAAUGACAUACUUCUUUGUGGAGUAAUCAAGGAUAAAUUUUAAAGAUUUAUAAAUUAAUUUAUCCAGAAAUCAAUAACGUCCAAAUUGUCAACAUGAUACUUCUUUGUGGAGUAAAAUUAAAGAAUGCUCAGAAGAAUAUUUCCAUGAAAAGAUAUUGGAUGAAGCGCAAAUAUCAAGGAUAUUCCACUAAUUUCAUGGAGUAUAGAAGCCAAAACUUUAACCAAUUGAGUAUAAUAGAAUAUAUGAAACUGCAAAUGGAUUUUUGACCGCCAUGCGGUAAUCCACGUAGACAGAUCAUUUCCAUAAUUUAAUAAGGAAUGAAUACAAAGGAUCAUUCACCAUGCAUGUGGUAAAUCCACAUAGACAGGUUAUUCCAACAAAAUAAUAAAGAAUGGAAUAACAGAAGAAUUCACCAUGCAUGCGAUAGACCGCACAGACAGGUUAUUCCCAACAGAAUAAUAAAGAAUGGAACCAGGUCAUGCGUAAUCCGCACAGACAGGAUAUUCCAACAGAAUAAUAAAGAAUGGAAUAACAUAAGAAUUUCACCAUGUAUGCUGUACUUCGCAUAGACAGGUUAUUCCAACAUAAUAAUAAAGAAUGGAACCAGGUCAUGCGUAAUACGCACAUAUAGGAUAUUCCAACAGAAUAAUAAAAAAUAGAACCAGGUCAUGCGUAAUCCGCACAGACAGGAUAUUCCAACAGAAUAAUAAAGAAUGGAACCAGGUCAAGCGUAAACCGUACAGACAGGAUAUUCCAACAGAAUAAUAAAGAAUGGAAUAACAACAGAACUCACCAGGCAUGCGAUAGACCGCACAGACAGGUAAUUCCAACAGAAUAAUAAAUAAUGGAACUAGGUCAUACGUAAUACGCACAGACAGGAUAUUCCAACAGAAUAAUAAAGAAUGAAAUAACAAAAGAAUUUCACCAUGUAUGCGGUACUUCGCAUAGACAGGUUAUUCCAACAUAAUAAUAAAGAAUGGAAUAACAAAAGCUCUCUUCAUGAAUACGAAAGAAAUAAUACCCCUUACCAUAGAAAGAAACUGGAUACUGGAGUAGAGAGGUAGCAGACUUCUCUUCUUCUUUCUCUCUAUAAUAAUUGCUCUAUAGUUUUAGUGAAUUGGUGAGAAAUGAAGGAAGAAUGAGCUUCUAUUUAUUGGAAAAUAUAGUUUCGAUAAUUACACAUUUUGGGGCUUGAAAUAUUACAGUAUAAUACCUUCCUCUUUUUCUUCAUUUUUAAUUUAGUCCUGCAAGUAUUAUCAAACUUGCACCACCUCCCCUAAUAGUAAAGAAUGUGAUUCAAUAGUAAAUCAUGUGAACAAAUAGUUCUAGACAUAUGAAAAUACGAAUUACAGUAUAGUACCUCCAUUUUUAACUUAGUCAUGCAAGUAUUAUCAAUCUUGCACCAACUCCCCUAAUAGUACAAAAAUGUGAAUCAAUAGUACACAUAUGUGAAUAAAUAGUUAUAAUCAUGUGAAUUAAUAGCAAUUAAUUGCUCAUUUAUCCGAUUAAUUACCCGAUUGGUCAGUAUAACUUCCAGACAUCAAUUAAUAUAGAAAUAAAUAUUGAUUUCCACUAACACUAAUAAUUUCAACACAAUGGAACUAUCAAUUUUAUCUUUAAUCAACACGAACUUAUUCAUCAUUAAUAUUAUAACUCACAAUAUUUAAUAACCAGGUCGUUCCCAGGAAAGAGGGGGCUUUCCGAUAAGGAUUUCUCCUUAUUGGCGCGCAAUUAGAUGACCAAACCUCUCCUUGACAAAACUUCUAGACAUUGUAAAUAUUACAAUUUAAUAAUAUGAAUAACUUUGUCGUCUCAAUUAUUGAUUUAAUAAUAUAUCAUAUUAUGCAGAUGAUACUGUGACAAUAAUCGAAUCAAUAAUAUGAGAGAUAUGAUGCAGCAAUUACUGUAGCAAUAAUUGAGUAUAACUGAGUGACUUCUCACGUAAGCAUCAAUAAUCAAUACCGUGUGCUACUAUGCAACCACGCGUAUUACUGUACUUUUACUACCGGGUAGUUCAACAGUUUUAACGGUAACACUUUCGCCGUUAUUUUUAUAAAAAGAUAAUUCUGUCGUUUUCUAACUACGACAAUACUUCCGUUGUGGGGUCCACCAAUGAUUGUGCCGUCGUACGAAUAUUCCCUGUUAAAACGAAUAUUCCCCGACCAAUCGAAUAUUAUAUAACCACUUGCUUACUUUGCAAAAUUUGUAAAUAUUACCCACAACUAUAACAUUAUAUCAAAUCCACACCAUAAUAUUCAAAAAUAUAUUUCGAGAAAAUUAUUCUUUAUUCAUAAAAGUUGGGGUCUUACAACCUCCCCUUCUUAUGAAAUUUCGUCCUCGAAAUUAGGGUACGUACCUGGUAUAUCGAAGAGGUGAGGAUAUCUUGACUUCAUCUCAGAUUCUAACUCCCAGGUCAUUUCUUCCACAUCGUGGUUUCUCCACAAAACUUUGACUUGAGGUAUAACCUUGGAGCGUAGAAUAUGAUCCUUCUUAUCCAAGAUUUUAACAGGUAACUCUUCAUACGUUAAAUCUUCCUCUAUCUCGUCUGGUUCUAAUUCAAUAAUGUGGUUCGGGUCUUUCACAUAUUUACGUAACAUAGAUAUGUGAAAAACGUUAUGAAUACGAGACAUACUUGGCGGUAAGGCGAGUCUAUAGGCCACAGUUCUUACUUGAUCAAGGAUUAAAAAUGGGCCAAUGAAUCGAGGAUUGAGCUUUCCUCUCUUUCCAAAUCUCGUGACUCCUUUCCAUGGAGCAACACGUAACAACACAUGAUCUCCAAUAUUGAAUUCCACGUCCUUUCGAUGAAGAUCAACAUAACUCUUUUGUCGAUCUUGUGAGAUUUUUAUACGUUGUCGGAUCAUUUAAAUCUUUUUCGUAGUCAUAUGUACCAAAUCCAGUCCCAACAACAUUGCUUCACCCACCUCAUCCCAGCAUACUGGAGAAUGACACUUUUUUCCAUACAACGCCUCAAAUGGAGCCAUGCCAAUACUUGCUUGAAAACUAUUGUUAUAGGAAAACUCCACCAAUGUUAAGAACUUGUCCCAACUUCCCUUGAAGUCAAGGACACAGAGUCUUAAUAAAUUUUCAAGAGUUUGAAUAGUCCUUUCCGACUGCCCGUCCGUUUGAGGAUGUUAUGCCGAACUAAAUCGUAAAUUCGUGCCCAUAGCUUUUUGCAAACUAACCCAAAAUCUUGAAGUGAAUCUUAGGUCUCAAUUAGAAACUAUGGAUACUGGCAUACCAUGCAAUCUUACAAUCUCGUUUAUGGACAUACUAGCAAGACAUUCAAGUGUAUAAGUUUCUCGUAUCGGUAAGAAAUGAACAAACUUGGUCAAUCUAUCAACAAUGACCCAAAUCGCAUCUAUGCCUUGAGAAACCUUGGGAAGACCAGUAACGAAAUCCAUGGUAAUGUGCUCCCAUUUCCAUUCUGGAAUUUCAAGUGGUUGUAAUGGACCUUUNNNNNNNNNNNNNNNNNNNNNNNNNNNNNNNNNNNNNNNNNNNNNNNNNNNNNNNNNNNNNNNNNNNNNNNNNNNNNNNNNNNNNNNNNNNNNNNNNNNNNNNNNNNNNNNNNNNNNNNNNNNNNNNNNNNNNNNNNNNNNNNNNNNNNNNNNNNNNNNNNNNNNNNNNNNNNNNNNNNNNNNNNNNNNNNNNNNNNNNNNNNNNNNNNNNNNNNNNNNNNNNNNNNNNNNNNNNNNNNNNNNNNNNNNNNNNNNNNNNNNNNNNNNNNNNNNNNNNNNNNNNNNNNNNNNNNNNNNNNNNNNNNNNNNNNNNNNNNNNNNNNNNNNNNNNNNNNNNNNNNNNNNNNNNNNNNNNNNNNNNNNNNNNNNNNNNNNNNNNNNNNNNNNNNNNNNNNNNNNNNNNNNNNNNNNNNNNNNNNNNNNNNNNNNNNNNNNNNNNNNNNNNNNNNNNNNNNNNNNNNNNNNNNNNNNNNNNNNNNNNNNNNNNNNNNNNNNNNNNNNNNNNNNNNNNNNNNNNNNNNNNNNNNNNNNNNNNNNNNNNNNNNNNNNNNNNNNNNNNNNNNNNNNNNNNNNNNNNNNNNNNNNNNNNNNNNNNNNNNNNNNNNNNNNNNNNNNNNNNNNNNNNNNNNNNNNNNNNNNNNNNNNNNNNNNNNNNNNNNNNNNNNNNNNNNNNNNNNNNNNNNNNNNNNNNNNNNNNNNNNNNNNNNNNNNNNNNNNNNNNNNNNNNNNNNNNNNNNNNNNNNNNNNNNNNNNNNNNNNNNNNNNNNNNNNNNNNNNNNNNNNNNNNNNNNNNNNNNNNNNNNNNNNNNNNNNNNNNNNNNNNNNNNNNNNNNNNNNNNNNNNNNNNNNNNNNNNNNNNNNNNNNNNNNNNNNNNNNNNNNNNNNNNNNNNNNNNNNNNNNNNNNNNNNNNNNNNNNNNNNNNNNNNNNNNNNNNNNNNNNNNNNNNNNNNNNNNNNNNNNNNNNNNNNNNNNNNNNNNNNNNNNNNNNNNNNNNNNNNNNNNNNNNNNNNNNNNNNNNNNNNNNNNNNNNNNNNNNNNNNNNNNNNNNNNNNNNNNNNNNNNNNNCUGAAGAGAACAAUGAAAGCAAAGGGUGAGCUCAACUAGCCCAGUAAGAAAUAUUAUGACUAAGAUAAUGCAGAAUAAAUUAUCCUUAGCCUUCAACAGUAUAACAACUGAUAGAAUAUAAUAGACAACAAGUUUUAACUGCAGCGGAAUAAGAAAUCCAUUAGAAGAGUCAAGUAGAGCAUAAAAUCUACUAUCUUCUAUGAUUUAAAAAGAUUUUCAUCAACUCUAUUACUAAGACUCAGCUUAAUAAAUAAACCACAGCAUCCCUGCCCCACGGCCAAGGAUAUUCAUGUACUCAUCAAGGGUUAUGAUUAUUCCAAAUAAUCCUUGGUCAUAAUCAUACCUACAACUGUCCAUCAAUGAACUACAGGACAAUGAGGACUUUUACCACAUCAUUCGUCACAUUACGGUCAUGAUUAUACUGAAUAAUCCCUGGUCAUAAUCAUACCAAUUCCAUCUAUGCACGUAAGCCUAAGAUGACUUUAAUCACAAUAUAAGCAUGAGGAUGGUGACAAUGACAUACUAAUUCAAUAAAACAAGUUCAAGGAUAAAUUUUAAAGAUUUAUAAAUUAAUUUAUCCAGAAAUCAAUAACGUCCAAAUUAUCAACAUGAUACUUCUUUGUGGAGUAAAAUUCAAGAAUGCUCAGAAGAAUAUUUCCAUGAAAAGAUACUGGAUGAAGCGCAAAUAUCAAGGAUAUUCCACUAAUUUCAUGGAGUAUAGAAGCCAAAACUUUAACCAAUUGAGUAUAAUAGAAUAUAUGAAACUGCAAAUGGAUUUUUGACCGCCAUGCGGUAAUCCACGUAGACAGAUCAUUUCCAUAAUUUAAUAAGGAAUGAAUACAAAGGAUCAUUCACCAUGCAUGUGGUAAAUCCACAUAGAUAGGUUAUUCCAACAGAAUAAUAAAGAAUGGAAUAUAGGAGAAUUCACCAUGCAUGCGGUAGUCCGCGUAGACAGGUUAUUCCAACAGAAUAAUAUAGAAUGGAAUAACAGAAGAAUUUCACCAUGUAUGCAGUACUUCACAUAGACAUGUUAUUCCAACAUAAUAAUAAAGAAUGGAACUAGGUCAUGCGAAAUACGCACAGAUAGGAUAUUCCAACAGAAUAAUAAAGAAUGGAACCAGGUCAUGCGUAAUUCGCACAGACAGGAUAUUCCAACAGAAUAAUAAAGAAUGGAACCAGGUCAUGCGUAAUUCGCACAGACAGGAUAUUCCAACAGAAUAAUAAAGAAUGGAAUAACAACAGAACUCACUAGGCAUGCGAUAGACCGCACAGGCAGGUUAUUCUAACAAAAUAAUAAAUAAUGGAACUAGGUCAUACGUAAUACGCACAGACAGGAUAUUACAACAGAAUAAUAAAGAAUUGAAUAACAGAAGAAUUUCACCAUGUAUGCGGUAAUUCGCAUAGACAUGUUAUUCCAACAUAAUAAUAAAGAAUGGAAUAACAGAAGAAUUUCACCAUGUAUGCGGUACUUCGCAUAGACAGAUUAUUCCAACAUAAUAAUAAAGAAUGGAAUAACAAAAGCUCUCUUCAUGAAUAUGAAAGAAAUAAUACCACUUACCUUAGAAAGAAACUGGAUACUAGAGUAGAGAGGUAGCAGACUUCUCUUCUUCUUUCUCUAUAUAAUAAUUGCUCUAUACCUUUCGUGAAUUGGUGAGAAAUGAAGGAAGAAUGAGCUUCUAUUUAUAGGAAAAUAUAAUUUCGAUAAUUGGACGUUUUGGGGCUCGAAAUAUUACAGUAUAAUACCUUCCUCUUUUUCUUUAUUUUUAAUUUAGUCCUGCAAGUAUUAUCAAACUUGCACCAUCUCCCCUAAUAGUAAAUAAUGUGAUUCAAUACUAAAUCAUGUGAACAAAUAGUUCUAGAAUGUGAAAAUACGAAUUACAGUAUAGUACCUCCAUCUACACGUCUAUUUUUAACUUAGUCAUUCAAGUAUUAUCAAUCUUGCACCAACUCCCCUAAUAGUACAAAAAUGUGAAUUAAUAGUACACACAUGUGAACAAAUAGUUAUAAUCAUGUGAAUUAAUAGCAAUUAAUUGCUCAUUUAUCCGAUUAAUUACCCGACUGGUCAGUAUAACUUCCAGACAUCAAUUAAUAUAGAAAUAAAUGUCGAUUUCCACUAACACUAAUAAUUCCAACACAAUGGAACUAUCAAUUUCAUCUUUAAUCAACACGAACUUAUUCAUCAUUAAUAUUAUAACUCACAAUAUUUAACAACCAAGUCGUUCCCAGGAAAUAGGGGGCUUUCUGAUAAGGAUUUUUCCUUAUUGACGCACAAUUAGAUGACCAAACCUCUCCUUGACAGAACUUCUAGACAUUGUAAUAUUGUAAUUUAAUAAUAUAAAUAACUUUGUCGUCUCAAUUAUUGAUUUAAUAAUAUAACAUAUUAUACAGAUGAUACUGUGACAAUAAUUGAAUCAAUAAUAUGAGAGACAUGAUGCAACAAUUACUGUUGCAAUAAUUGAGUAUAACUGAGUGACUUCUCACGUAAGCAUCAAUAAUCAAUACCGUGUGCUACUAUGCCACUACGCGUAUUACUGUACUUUUACUACCGGGUAGUUCAACAGUUUUAACGGUAACAUUUCGCCAUUAUUUUUAUAAAAAGAUAAUUCUGUCGUUUUACGACAAUACUUCCAUUGUGGGGUCCACCAAUGAUUGUACCAUUGUACGGAUAUUCUCUGUUAAAAUGAAUAUUCUCCGACCAAUUGAAUAUUAUAUAACCACUUGCUUACUUUAUAAAAUUUGUAAAUAUUACCCACAACUAUAACAUUAUAUCAAAUCCACACCAUAUUAUUCAAAAAUAUAUUUUGAGAAAAUUAUUCUUUAUUCAUAAAAGUUAGGGUCUUACAAUUUACUAUUGAUUCACAUGAUUUACUAUUAGGGGAGGUGGUGCAAGUUUGAUAAUAAUUGCAGGACUAAAUUAAAAAUGAAGAAAAAGAGGAAGGUAUUAUACUGUAAUAUUUUGAGCCCCAAAACGUGCAUUUAUCGAAACUAUAUUUUCCUAUAAGUAGAAGCUCAUUCUUCCUUCAUUCUCUCCAAUUCACUAAGUCUCACAAGAGCAAUUAUUAUAGAGAAAUUAUAGAGAGAAAGAAGAAGAGAAGUCUGCUACCUCACUAUUCCAGUAUCCAGUUUUCUUCUAAGGUAAGUGGUAUUAUAAGGUAAGGGGUAUUAUUUCCUUCGUAUUCAUGAAGAGAGUUAUUUUCUUUCAAUACUCGUAAGGGUUGUUAUUCUAUUCUUUAUUAUUCUAUUGGAAUAACCUGUCUGUGCGUACUACCGCAUGCCUGGUGAAUUCUUAUCAUUCUUUAUUAGUCUGUUGGAAUAACCUGUCUGUGCGGACUACCGCAUGCCUGGUGAAUUCUUCUGUUAUUCCAUUCUUUAUUAUUCUAUUGGAAUAACCUGUCUGUGCGGACUAUCGCAUGCCUGGUGAAUUCUUCUGUUAUUCCAUUCUUUAUUAUUCUGUUGGAAUAACCUGUCUACACGGACUACCGCAUGCAUAGUGAAUUCUUCUGUUAUUCCAUUCUUUAUUAUUCUUUUGGAAUAACUUGUCUGUGUGGACUACCGCAUGCAUGGUGAAUGAUCCUUCGUAUUCAUUCCUUAUUAAAUUGUGGAAAUGAUAUGUCUACGUGGAUUACCGCAUGGCGUACGAAAAUCCAUUUGCAAUUUCAUAUAUUCUAUUAUACUCAGUUGGUUAAAGUUUUGGCUUCUAUACUCCAUGAAAUUAGUGGAAUAUCCUUGAUAUUUGCGUUUCAUCCAGUAUCUUUUCAUGGAAAUAUUCUUCUGAGCAUUCUUAAAUUUUACUCCACAAAGAAGUAUCAUGUUGAUAAUUUGGACGUUAUUGAUCUUUGAAUAAAUUAAAUUAUAAAUCUUUAAAAUUUAUCCUUGAACUUAUUUUAUUGAAUUAUUAUGUCAUUGUCAUCAUCCUCAUGCUUAUAUUGUGAUGAAAGUCAUCUUUGGCUUAUGUGCAUAGAUGGACUUGGUAUGAUUUUGACCAGGGAUUAUUCAAUAUAAUCAUGACCGUAAUAUAACGACUGAUGUGUUAAAAGUCCUCAUUGGCCUGUAGUUCAUUGAUGGACAGUUGUUGGUAUGAUUAUGACCAGGAAUUAUUCGGUAUAAUCAUGACUAUUGAUGAUUACAUGAAUAUCCUUGACCGUGGUGCAAGGAUGAUUCGAUUUUAUUUAUUAAGCUGAGUCUCAGCGAUAAAAUUAUUGAAAAUCAUUUUAAAUCAUAGAAGAUAGUAGAUUUUAUGUUCUACUUGACUCUUCUAAUGUAUUGCUUAUUCCGCUGCAGUUGCUGAUCUAAAACUUGUUGUCUUUUAUAUUCUAUCAGUUGUUAUACUGUUAAAGGCUAAGGAUAAUUUAUUCUGCAUUAUCUUAGUCAUAAUAUUUCUUACUGGGCUAGUUGAGCUCACCCUUUCUUUCACUGUUCUCUUCAGGAAAUGAGAAUAUAGCUGGGACGAGUCGGGGAAAGGAUUGACGGUCCAGAUGGUUGUUUUAGUAGUCCUCACUAUUCUAUAAAAUAGUGUGACAAUAAAUAUAAUGAGGACUCCAUUGAGUGUGGAUAUUGUUUAGAUGACAAUAUUCUUAUUAAAAACUCUUAGAUUAUGUUUUGCCGUAUGUUACACGACUGUUGUAUAAUUAAGUUGUAUUUGAAUUUUGUACCAUAUAUUUGGCGACUCAAGAUGGGUGAUGUAUACCUAUUUUGGAGGCGUCAUAGCUAUGCUCCGCACUAGCCCUUUCCAGUGGUUUCUAUAUUACGAGUCACAAGUUUCUAACACUUGUGUUCGUGAAGAUACUGCAUGGCCUGAGAACAGAGCCGGCCCCGGGCCAAGUCAACCAGGGCGACUGCCCAGGGCCCAAAGCUGAGGAGGGUCCAUUUUUUUUUAAAAAUUAUGUAUAUAUGUGUAUAAAAAAAUAAUUAUAAAAUAUAAUAUAAAACAAAUCAAUAAAUAUGGAGAAUCAAAAUAGACUCUUAGCCACAAAAAGAAGGAAAAACUCUUCGACCCUCUCAGUUCAUAACGCAACGCAAAUAAAUUUUUUUUCCGAUGAUUCUCCUUAUAUCCAACAAAGUUGGAAAAUAAAUCAUCCACCAGCUAGACCAGUUCCUUUCUUUGAAGGUAAUUUUUUUAAGAAUUAUAUAGAAUCUAGAUACAGUAAAACCUCUAUUUACUAAAUAGAGAUAUUGAUACAAAAUAUUUUCGAACACCCAAAAAUAUCCACUUUAACAAAAAUAUAGAUUCUAUAACAAAAAUUAAAGAAAACAUAAAUUAUUUAGAUUUUUAAACUAGGAAAAUGUAGUUUUUUAUAGAAAAAUGUGGUCUUUUAUAGGAAAUAUAGUCUUUUAUAGGAAAAUAUGGUCCUUUAUAGGAAAUGUAGUCUUUUAUAGGAAAAUAUAGUUCUUUAUAUGAAAUGUAGUCUUUUAUAGAAAAUGUAGUCUUUUAAAAUUAAUAUUGUCUCUCAUAUAUAUAUAUAUAUUUAUUACUAUAUAGAGGUAUAGUUUCUCAAUACGGGAUUUAAAAAGUCUAUAACAUAUUAUAAUUUAGAGGUUAUUCCUAUUUAUAACUGGCCCAAAUUGGGACCAAAUUUUUUUAUAAUAUUGUAGAGGUUAUUCUUAUAUAGAGUAUUCUUAAAUAGGGGUUUUACUGUAUAUAAAUUUUGUAAAUUGUAAUAUAUAUUUUUGUUAACUUUUCUUAUUUAUUAUUUAAUUCAACAGAAAACUUGGCUAAAAUUCUUGUUCUUCGUUUUUAAUACAAUGUUUACAAUUCGGGGUACUCUUUUUCCUUUGUUUGGGGUUUUGUCCCAUUAGAUUUUCCCCAAACAAAUUUUUUAACGAGGCCCCAAAGUGUUCUUACUUAUCUUUUAUAAAUUCUUAUAAUUUUAAUAAAAUUAAUUAGUUGAUAAUUUAUUUAUUUUUUUGUUUAAUUUAUAUAAAGGGGCACAUUUAAUUUUUUUUGCCCUGGACCUUACAAAACCCAAGACCGACUCUGCUUGAGAAAUCUCAACUGCCUUUGUAACUCCUUCCCCUAAAGGUGGCAGCGCCACCGUUCUUUCUUUCCUCCGGUUACCCGGUCCGUGCAUCCAUUCCUUCAAUGUAGUGCUCAAGAACUCGGUGACGACCUAACCGUGGAAAGGCGGGUCAAGGCACGCGCCUAUUAGGUGGAGCACGAACCGAUGGCGUUGUCUUGAUAGAGUUUCGACUUCUUGAGCGAAGAAGCUAAUGCCAUGCUCGUUUGAUUCGAAGAAAUCAGGGUUUAUGAAUUUUACUGCUACGUGUAGUCCUCUCCAUAUGCCUUUGUAUAUGUCCGCAGUGCUCCUUUGACCUACUUUUUCGUGCAAUUCAAUCUGCACAAACCACAAGUUAAUGCAUGUUUUUGCACAAUUCAUUCCUAUUUAAUUCCAGAGUCUACAUAUAUGACAAUUAUAGUGGUAUGUAUGUGUGUGUAUAUAUAUAUAUAUAUAUGGGAAAAAUGUAUGUACACAGCUGUGUAUUACACAGUAGACUAUGACGACGGUUUUUUAGACUAUAGCGACGGUUUCACCCGUCGUCAUAGCUAUUCUGGGCUAUGACGACAGUUUAACGUCGCCAUAGCCUUACUGUGUAAUACACAGCUGUGUAUAUACAUAUAGCCCUAUAUAUAUAUAUAUUAUUACAUGUUUCUUAUAAUAUUUUUAAUUUUGUACGUCACAAAAUGAGAGUUCUCUUUAAAAACAAAUUGAAAGACAUUAUAAUCUAUAGUGCUUGAAAUUUUCCCUAAAUGAAACAUGAUCAAACUUAGAUUUCAUUUAAUAUCAGUAUAUAAUUAAUUAAGUAUUAUUAUUUUAAAUUGUUGAAUAUUUCCUUUAAAAUGCAUAUUUUUAAAUAGGACUCAUUUUAAGACAAUCAAGUUAUAUAAUUAAAAGAAAAAUUUGUUAUGCUCAAGAAAAUAAAUAAUUUAGGAUUUUGUGAAGGACAAAUGACAAAAGUGUGUCCCAAAACAUACACUCAACUCAAUUUUCACCUUAAAGUUUAGAAAUCAAUAAUCCACAUUAACUAACUUAACUCAAAGUCUUUUAAAAAGACUAUCUUGUUCUCUUUUGGUCAGCCCGACCAAUUUCUGAUCUGAAAUACGGGUUGAUAUUUACCGAUAAUGUGUAAAUCAUAUUUUAACCAUAUAAAUUCCAAAAAAUACUUUAAUUUUCUGUUAAAGACUAUUAUUAUGAGGGCAACAAAUACAUGUGUUUCUAAAUUGCUUAAUUUCUUAAAUGUGAUGGAAAAACGACAAAACUAAUGAUUUGGCUAUCGAAGUUGACACAUUUUAUUGAAUACCUGAUUGAAAUUUUAAUUUUUCAAAUUAACUAACUGAACUAAUUAAAAUUAUUAAAUUGGGUCAUUCUGUCAAAUCUGGUUAACGGCUGUCAAAAUUUUUCAUACGUGGAAGUAAAAAAAAAGGGAAAAUAAAAUAAAAAAUGAGGUGGCCAAUAAGCAACAAUGACAUGGAAAUAAAAAAAAAAAUAUUUUUUGACUCAUUUUUAACAUUUUAAAUUUUUAAAAAUGAUAAAAACAUAAUAAAACAACACAAAAACUAAUAAAAAUAAAACAUUUUUUCAUUCAUUAAAUCAAUUAUUCCUCCUUCUUCUCUCUCUUCUUCCUCUUCUUCUCUCUCUUCUUCCACCACCACCGCCUCCACCUCCUCCACCGCCUCUUCUUCUCUCCAUCCAGGGGCGGAUCUGCGGCUGGGGUUUUGGAUGAUGGAUCCGUUCGGAUCUGGUUUCCCUUUUACCGAUCUUGAACUGCUUGUCGAUUUUUGUUGGUCGAUUCCGAUGGUUUUGCGGGGAUGGUUUAUUCGCGUGUUUUCUAAUCUGGAUCUUUUGUUUAUAUUUCAUCUUUUUAUGUUCAAUUUAGGAUGAUUUCUUUGAUGUUUUCCAGUUGAUCUGAGUUUGUCCCGAUCUGGUAUCAUGUAUUUAUUACUUAUUUAGUUCAUGUUCAUAUUUGGGUUUAUUUUUUAUUGGGAUGAUUUCUGAUUUUACUGCUCCGCUUUGUUCUUGGCAGUAUCCAUGGUGGGUCUGUUUUAAUUAGCUCGUCGAUAGCUCCUCUAUUUCCUGCAAAUCUGAGAUUUGUUAUGUGUUCCUCGUGGCUAUUUCGCCGGAAUCUGCAUUUUCUGAAAAGGUCAUGUUGUGUCUCACCGUCGGAUCGAUUGAGGGUCUUUACCGGAUGGUUCUGGAUGUUUGUAUCUGACUCUCGGGAUUUGUUUUGAUCGACCUGAUGUUUUGAUCGCAUAUGUAUAAAAUUAUGCUGGGAAGCUCUAGGUUCUAAUUCUUCUCAUUUUUAGGAAAGAAGAAGAUUUUUUUAGAUCUGUUCUUCUAUAUGUAAUCUGAUUGAUUUAAUGAAUUAAAAUUUUAAUUGAUUAUAUAUUAUUAUUUUGUUGAUGUAGAAAGUCAGGAUUUAUUGAAGUUUUUUAUUUAUUUUUUUGCCACAUGUAAUAUUUUUAAUUUUUAUAUAUAUUUUUUCAGCGCCACGUAGAUAAAAAGCUAACGUCUGUCUAUUUUUUUUAACGGAGUGACCCAAUUUGAAAAUUUUAAUUAGUUCAGUUAGUUAAUUUGACAAAUUAAAAGUUCAAUCAGGUAUUCAGUAAAACGUGCCAACUUCAAUGACCAAAUCAUUAGUUUUGCCAUGAAAAAACCCAUACGUACCUCGUUUGGUUCAAUGUACCACCCGUUCAUCUUGGCUUGAUCUAUGACGGCUGAAAGAUCAGAAUGGUGAUGAACCGGUGGUGGUGGUGUUGGAAGAUUUGUGGUAGCACCAUCGAUGUUAAUGUCUUUAUUGUUGUUGAGAAUAAUAUCCAAGAAACCUUUGUCUUGAGCUAUUUGAAGACAAUACCUUAGAUAAUCUUGUGUUCUUUCCAUCCCCAUCUUGUACAUGACCCUCAGUUCCUUCUGCUUUCCCAGCUCACUUUCUAGUUCUACCACAUUAAUUCACAUUUUUAGUUAAAUAUUAAAUUGUUAUUACAAUAAAUAUGAUAUAUAUGUUCAACGCAUGUUCAUUCAAGAAUUAUAUAUUAUAUAAAUGAGAAUAUGCGUAUAUGCAUGUUCAUUCAGAAUUAUUAUAGAUGCUUUGAUUCAUGAAUACUCCAAGAAGUACUUUAAUAUAUAUGUAUAUACACGUCCCAAAGCUAGAGUCUCAUUUUAAUUUUUGAAUUAAAAUUUUUAUUGUUAGAACCGUAACUUCAUAGAGUCAAAAUUGUUGUAGAAGACGUGCCACGGGUGAUCCCUGUCCUGAAGGUCUUUAUCGCUCCUACCACGAUCGAUUUGUUAUGAGUUGCAGACGAUAUACCUCCAGGAUAUAUGUCAAGCCUUGGUGAAUAAUCCGUGAUAGCAAUUCACAGAAAAUUCCAAUUUAACACUAUUUUGUAGUAGUUAUUAGUUUUUAAGAAGAAUGGAAAAGAUAAAAAAAAAGUUCACUUGUGCAAAUCUUUCAUGUAACUUCACUAUAUACCAUAUGCAUAUCUCUUAUGUAUAUAUAUAUCUAGACACACACACACACACACACACACAUAUAUAUAUAUAUAUAUAUAUAAGUUGCAUUAUAACUACUCAAUUAUAUAUUUAACUAUACUUAUUAGUACUAAUUAUGUAAGUUACAUAUUAGUAAUAAUUAGGAGUUAAAUAAAAUUUGAAUAGUCUCACUAUUUCCCUUUUGUUCCAAAAUAAAAUAAACUUCUAUUAAAUGAAACUAAAGAAAAAUAGUUUUAUCAAACAAUCUUCAAUCCCCCACUUGUUUGGAAAAACUACUUUUCAUCCAAACAACUUUCUAUCAAACAACUCAAAGACAUGUGUGCAUAAAAGAAUGUGUGACGAACAUUGAACAUUCCCUUAGUGUAAACAACUCAAAGUCACAUCGAAGUUGAAGGUGUCAGUAGAUUAAACCUCUACUUCUAUAUGAUAUGACCAAAAUUGUCACACACACACAAAAUUCUCCUACCACGGUGAGUAUUCUCAAUUGCUUUGCGCUAAUAUGGCCAUGCGCAAUACCCUGUUUCAUGAACCUCUAAGAGAGUAAACCACAACCCUCUAUAAGAAGCGGCUCCACUUCUAGUUCAUAUAGGCAAAGGGUUUCACAAGUGUUUCUGUUUCUAAGAAACAACAACUUUGUUAAGGGUAUAACUCAGCCUCUGUGACACCCCCAAAUUCAGGUACUCCAUUCCCAUAGAAUUUGGUGUUCAAUAUCCAAAACCAUUACAUCUAACUACCCAUCAUAAAGGAUAAAGACAUAAUUUAAAUAACUUAAACAAUAAUCUUUCCCAUUAAAGGGUUACAUCAUCAUCUCAAAAAUAAUCCCAGGUAAUCUAACCUUAAAAUUAUUACAUAAGUUUGCGGAAUACAUCAUAAAAUAAAACAAGUAUUUAACAUAAUUCAUAAAAAUAAAAUUCUCAUAAGUCUUCAACACUUGGACAUCUUUUCCUUUCCUUUGCUAGUAGAUGGCUCAUCGACUUUCUCUACUUUAGCUGCAGUGUUAAAUGCAAGAGUGAGCAAACAAUUGCUCACUAAUAUAGAGAGUAAUAAUGAUAGCAACAUGAGAAUGAACAACGAAUGCUGAACAAUAAUGAACUUGUUCUACGAAUCAAAAAUAGAAAACAAGUUCAAAAUUAAUAUCUGAGGGUCUUAAGACCAUGAACUAUGUCUCCGGUAUUUAGGUAUUAUUACCUCAACCUUAACAGUCAUUAGACUAUACAGACCCUUCUUAACGUACUUAGGGGGAUCAACCCUUUGUACCAUGUAUUGUGCACAAACAUCUAAACGUUACACGUACAAAAUUCCCUAUGUUAGGGUUGUUCGUCUCAAUUUGAAUUUAGAAAUUCCGCUCUAAAGAAAGUUUAGCUCGGAACUAACUUAUUAGUGUUUCUAGAAUUUUAGAACACUAUUCAAUUAUAGGUUAAUUCAAUCAAUAAAGGUUUGCUUACUACUUGAAGGUUUAAUACGUACAACAAUAAAGCUUUGAACAAGGUUAUCAAAGUCAAGGACUGAAUAACAGCAAUGUAUAAUUGAAUAACCAUGAUAAACGACAUGCAAGGUGCUAUAUUCAAAAGAGUUAGAACAACCUCCUUUGAAUCAAUGUAUUAGAACAAUAUAUGCUUCGAAUAAUAAUAAGGAAAGUAAAACUAGCUCGAUGUAACGAAUUAGGUUACAAGAGCUUGUACAAUCAUACACGAGAUAGAAUCAAUAGGCUUGCUUAACUUCAAUGUAAAAUUUAGGAAUAAAUAGAUUGCUUGACUUAAAGAUAGAAUAGCUAUGAAACAAGCGUAAUUAUAAUUAAGAUAGGGUAAAUAAACUUGCUCAAUAAUCACAAGGUAGAGUUAGAAAACUUGCCUCAAGCGUAAGCUAUAAUAUUAAAACUCACGUUCACCUACACAUUUUAGUGGAAUCACAAUAUCUAUUAGACAUGUUAACAUCCAUUUAUAAAAUAACAUCCAUUUCUAGUUAAACUUGUUAAUUUAGUGCAAAUCUUUACCUUACUAUACAUAUUUCAGAAUCACAAGUUUACAUUUCAUAACACUUAUUCACUGACCAAUGAGUUUCUUAAAUCAUACAUAUUAUUUUCACAACUUACUAACUUUACAUUUUAGGGUGACUAACCACAUGAUACGUUUCUGUUUUAACCUUGUUAUUACACAUUUGACACAUUAACAUAAUCAUUAAGCCUAGUUAUAAUGAAUGUCCAAAGUCUACAGAAGUAGCAGACUUCACUUUUGUAACUGACUACUGGCGCGGCCGUGCCAGUAUUACCUUAGGAUAAUGCGCGCCCGUGCGGCUGCUGCAUGCUCGCGCCAAGAGGCUGCCCGCUCGCGCUAUGCACCAGUUCCAGUUUUUACAGAACGCGAACUUAGACUCUGUUAUAGGCCAAAAAUCCCAAUUCUACAGAAAUUCACCAAACCUCAACAUCUAAAACUUUGUAACAUCAUAGUUACACAUGCUAAACAUCAUUCUAUAUACAAAAACAUUACAUAUACAUCAUUUUGAGGAAUCAAAACCAUAGUUUUCCAAAUUUCUUCAAUUUUGACACUUUUAAUGAAUUCGAUCACCAUAAAUUCGUUUCUUAACCAAUUGACACGAUUCGAACUACGCCGCUUUCGUUUCUUAACAUAUUAACAUAAUCCAAUAACAAAUUACAGAUUAUAACAUAUAUAGAGCAUCAACUUUUGUACUUUUUAAAGCCAUUUUUCAAACAUAAAACUGUUAUUUUAAUUUCUUCCUACACACCAAUUUCUCACGAAUUUGAUACUCAAACCACACUAAUAUAUGAUAACAACAGAUUCUACAAUAUAACCCAAAUCAUAUAAUCAACGUUUGUAACAACAAAUCCACAAAAUCAAUUACAGAGAAGUUAAAUAAAAAAAACUAAAACUUGGAAAUUUCGGAAUGAAUUAUACCUUAAUCCUCUUGAUUAUAUGCUAGCACAAGAUGAUGAUUAGGUUUAGCAAUUCCCCUCCAAUCACAGUGAUUCCUCUCUUGCUCUCUCUCCAAACUCUCUGUGUUUCACUGUGUUCCUCUCUUCCAAACUCUCUGACUAUAACCUUAGGAAGAAAAGAAUGCGUAGAAAAAUAAACUGGCUUCCACUAACUCAUGUAUGCUUCAGUUAUAAAACCCAAACAGACGUCAGUUGAAUAAGCCAAAGGCCACAAGGCCUUGUUUGGCUACCACUUAAACCCCCAACUAGAUUAUUUUAAUAAUAUUUAUAUUAUAUAGUUACUACAUGUCACACUUUAUUUUGAUUAAUUUAAAUAACUUUAGUUUAGUUAAUUUAAAUAACUUAUAAUAAUAAUAAUAAUCUUAUUAUCAUUAUACUUAUAAUUAAUAAAUAAUUAUAUAUCUAAUUUAAUUAAUAAAUUAGAAACAUCACUUUAUUUAAUUAUUUAUUUCCUUUAAACUAAACAAUUCAUUUAAUAUAAUUAUUUUCUUAAAUAUUAAGCAAUUGAUUUAAUUUAAUUAUUUCCUUAAAUUAAAUCCUUCAAAUAAAAUUAUUAUUACUCAAUUUAAUUAACAUCAAUCAAUUUAGUUACUAAAUAAAUUCAUCACAAUUCAUCAAUUAUUUAUUUCCUCAAUAAAUAAAUUAUUUAAAAUAUUUAUUUAAUUCAAUAAACAUUUAAAUUAAAUUAUAAAUGUGACACCCCCAAAAAUAGGUAUACAUCACCUAUUCUAAGUUGCCAAAUACAUGGUACAAAAUACAAAUACAAACUUAAUUGUACAAACGUCGUGUAAAAAUACGACAAAACAUAGUUGAGAGUUUUAAUAAGAAUAUUGUCAUAUAAAUAAUAUCCACACUCAAAGGAGUCCUCAUUACAUUUAUUAUUACACUAUUUCACAGAAUAGUGAGGACUACUAAUGCUCCAUCUAGGACCAUCACUCUGUUCCCUGACUAGUCCCAGUUACGUUCUCAUUUCCUGAAGAGAACAAUGAAAGAAAGGGUGAGCUCAACUAGCCCAGUAAGAAAUAUUAUGACUAAGAUAAUGCAGAAUAAAUUAUCGUUAGCCUUUAACAGUGUUAAACUGAUACAAUAUAACAAAUAUCAAGUUUAACUGCAGCGGAACAAACAAUCCAUUUGAAGAGUCAAGUAGAGAAUAAAAUCUACUAUCUUCUAUGAUUUAAAAGGUUUUUCAUCACUUUUAUCGCUGAGACUCAACUCAAUAAAUAAACCACAUCAUUAAAUCAUCCAUGCACUACAGGCCACGGAUAUUUUUUAGUAUCACGAUCACGAAUUAUCCAUGCACUACGACCACAGAUAAUCGUGUUUUCAUCAACGGUUCUGAUCAUGCCAUAAAACAAUUCAUCUUUGCACCCUUGGCGGAAGAGAAUCAAUAGCCAUAAUCAUACCAAAAUCUGUCCAUCAAUGUAUUACGGGCCAAUGAGGACUUUUUUCACAUCAUUUGUAACAUUACUGUCAUGAUUAUACCGAAUAAUCCCUGAUCAUAAUCAUACCAAGUCCAUCUAUGCACUACAGGCCACAUAUGACUUUCAACAUAAUAUAAACAUGAGGAUGAUGACAAUGACAUAAUAAUUCAAUAAAACAAGUUCAAGAAUUAAUUUAUCUAGGAACCAAUAACAUCCAAAUUGUCAACAUGAUACUUCUUUGUAGAGUAAAAUUCAAGAAUGCUCAGAAGAAUAUUUCCAUGAAAAGAUACUGGAUGAAGCGCAAAUAUCAAGGAUAUUCCACUAAUUUCAUGGAGUAUAGAAGCUAAAACUUUAACCAACUGAGUAUAAUAGAAUAUAUGAAACUGCAAAUGGAUUUUCGCCCGCCAUGCGGUAAUCCACGUAUACAGAUCAUUUCCACAAUUUAAUAAGGAAUGAAUACAAAUGAUCAUUCACUAUGCAUGUGGUAAUCCACAUAGACAGGUUAUUCCAACAGAAUAAUAAAGAAUGGAAUAACAGAAGAAUUCAAAAUGCAUGCGAUAGAUCGCACGCGCGGCUGCUGCAUGCCCGCGCCAAGAGGCUGCGCGCUCGCGCAGCUGCUGCAUGCCCGCGCCAAGAGGCUGCGCGCCCACACUACGCACCAAUUCCAGUUUUUACAGAACGCGAACUUAGACUCUGUUAUAGGCCAAAAAUCCCAAUUCUACAGAAAUUCACCCAACCUCAACAUCUAAAACUUUGUAACAUCAUAGUUACACAUGCUAAACAUCAUUCUAUAUACAAAAACAUUACAUAUACGUCAUUUUGAGGAAUCAAAACCAUAGUUUUCCAAAUUUCUUCAAUUUUGACACUUUUAAUGAAUUCGAUCACCACAAAUUCGUUUCUUAACCAAUUGACAUGAUUCAAACUACACCGCUUUCGUUUCUUAAUAUAUUAACAUAAUCCAAUAACAAAUUACAGAUUAUAACUGUGACGCCCCCAAAACAGGUAUACAUCACCCAUCUUGAGUUGCCAUAUACAUGGUACAUAAUACAACUAUAAACUUCUUUAAUACAACUAUCGUGUAAAAUACGACAAAACAUAGUUGAGAGUUUAAACACGAAUAUUGCCUUCUAGACAAUAUCCACACUCAAUGGAGUCCUCAUUACAUUUAUUGUCAUACUAUUUAACAGAAUAGUGAGGACUUCUAAUGCUAUCAUCUGGACCGUCACUCCGUUCCCCGACUAGUCCCAACUAUAUUCUCAUUUCCUGAAGAGAACAAUGAAUACAAAGGGUGAGCUCAACUAGCCCAGUAAGAAAUAUUAUGACUAAGAUAAUGCAGAAUAAAUAAUCCUUAGCCUUCAACAAUAUAACAACUGAUAGAAUACAAUAGACAACAAGUUUUAGAUCAACAACAAUCCAUUAGAAGAGUCAAGUAGAGCAUAAAAUCUACUAUCUUCUAUAAUUUAAAAAGUUUUUCAUCAACUUUAUCGCUGAGACUCAGCUUAAUAAAUAAAAUUGAAUCAUCCCUGCAUCACAGCCAAGGAUAUUCAUGUAAUCAUCAAUGGUCAUGAUUAUACCGAAUAAUCCCUGAUCAUAAUCAUACCAAGUCCAUCUAUGCACUACAGGCCACAUAUGACUUUCAACAUAAUAUAAACAUGAGGAUGAUGAUAAUGACAUUAUAAUUCAAUAAAACAAGUUCAAUGAUAAAUUUUAAAGAUUUAUAAUUUAAUUUAUCCAGAAAUCAAUAACAUCUAAAUUGUCAACAUGAUACUGCUUUGUAGAGUAAAAUUCAAGAAUAAUAUUCAUGUACCAAAAAUAAUUUUGACACAAAAGAAAUAUAUUUUUUCGGGUGAAUAGUACCCCAUAAAUAGUACUUCGGGAAUAGUACCCUAUGAAUAGUACCCCGACACGAAAAGUGUCCUGAAUACCCGAGUGAAUGAUACUAGAGUGAAUAGUAAUUAGGUGAAUAGUAACCCAUAAAUAGUAACUUGUGAAUAGUACUCCGACACGAAAAGUGUCCUGAAUACCCGAGUGAAUGAUACUAGAGUGAAUAGUAAUUAGGUGAAUAGUAACCCAUAAAUAGUAACUUGUGAAUAGUACUCCGACACGAAAAGUGCCCCGAAUACCUGAGUAAAUAAUACUAGAGUGAAUAGUAACCGGGUGAAUAGUAACCCAUGAAUAAUAACUCGUAAAAAAAAAAUACCAAAGAAAAUGAUAUUUCAUGACGAGUUCAAAAGAAAUGAUAUCUCAUACGAGUACAAUAGAAUAUACGAAACUGCAAAUGGAUUUUCACUCGCCAUGCGGUAAUCCAUGUAGACAGAUCAUUUCCACAAUUUAAUAAGGAAUGAAUACGAAGGAUCAUUCACCAUGCAUGCGGUAAUCCACAUAGACAGAUUAUUCCAACAGAAUAAUAAAGAAUGGAAUAUAAGAAGAAUUCACCAUGCAUUAUUCCAACAGAACAAUAAAGAAUGGAAUAACAGAAGAAUUCACCAUGCAUGCGGUAGUCCGCGCAGACAGGUUAUUCCAACAGAAUAAUAAAGAAUGAAAUAACAUAAGAAUUCACCAUGCAUGCGGUAGUCCGCGUAGACAGGUUAUUCCUACAAAAUAAUAAAGAAUAGAAUAACAAAAGAAUUCACCAUGCAUGCAGUAGUCCGCGUAGACAGGUUAUUCCAACAGAAUAAUAAAGAAUGGAAUAACAGAAGAAUUCACCAUGCAUGCGGUAGUCCGCGUAGACAGGUUAUUCCAACAGAAUAAUAAAGAAUGGAAUAACAGAAGAAUUCACCAUGCAUGUGCUAAUCCGCGUAGACAGGUUAUUCCAACAGAAUAAUAAGGAAUGGAAUAACAGAAGAAUUCACCAUAGAUGCGAUAGUCCGCGUAGACAGGUUAUUCCAACAGAAUAAUAAAGAAUGGAAUAACAACAGAAUUCACCAGGCAUGCGGUAGUCCGCACAGACAGGUUAUUCCAACAGAAUAAUAAAGAAUGGAAUAACAACUCUUACGAGUAUUGAAAGAAAAUAACUUCUCUUCAUGAAUACGAAAGAAAAUACCCCUUACCUUAGAAGAAGACUGGAUACUAGAAUAGUGAGGUAGCAGACUUCUCUUCUUCUUUCUCUCUAUAAUUUCUCUCUAUAAUAAUUGCUCUAUAGCUUUAGUGAAUUGGUGAAAAAUAAUGAAGGAAUGAGCUUCUAUUUAUAGGAAAACAUAGUUUCGAUAAUUGCACGUUUUGGGGCUCAAAAUAUUAUAGUAUAAUACCUUCCUCUUUUUCUUCAUUUUUAAUUUAGUCCUGCAAGUAUUAUCCAACUUGCACCACCUCCCCUAAUAGUAAAUCAUGUGAAUUAAUAGUUCAUUCAUGUGACUUAAUAGUAUAAUCAUGUGAAAAAACUAAUUAUAGUAUAAUACCUUCAUCUAUACCUCAAUUUUUAAUUUAGUCAUGCAAGUAUUAUCAAUCUUGCACCAACUCCCUUAAUAGAAAAUCAUGUGAAUUAAUAGUACACACAUGUGAACACAUAGUUAUAAACAUGUGAAUUAAUAGCAAUUAAUUACUCAUUUAUCCGGUGAAUUACCUGAUUGGUCAAUAUAAGCUUCAGACAUCAAUUAUUAUUGAAAUAAAUAUCGAUUUCCACUAACAUUAAUAAUUCUCACACAAUGGAACUAUCAAUUUCAUCUUUAAUCAACACAAACUUAUUCAUCAUUAAUAUUAUAACUCUCAAUAUUUAACAACUAGGUCGUUCCCAGGAAAGAGGGGGAUUUCCGAUAAGGAUUUAUCCUUAUUGGCGCACAAUUAGGUGACCAAACCUCCCCUUGACAGAACUUCUAGACAUUGUCAAUAUUGCAAAUAAUAAUAUGAAUAACUUUGCCGUCUCGAUUAUUGAUUUAAUAAUAUAACAUAUUAUGCGGAUGAUACUGUGACAAUAAUUGAAUCAAUAAUAUGAGAGAUAUGAUGCAACAAUUACUGUAGCAAUAAUUGAGAAUAAACUGAGUGACUUCUUACGUAAGCAUCAAUAAUCAAUAUCGUGUGCUACUAUGUAACCACGCGUAUUACUGUACUUUUACCCUCGAUUAUUUCUAUGACAACUUGCUUACUUUGAAAAAUUUCAAAUAUCACCCUUAACUUUAAUCUUUUAUCAAUUUAACCACUUACUAAAUAAAUAAUAAUUAUAUGGAAAUUGAAUACUUUCAUUUCAUUAAAUUUGGGAUCUCACAAUCUCCCCUCCUUAUGAAAUUUUUCCCUCGAAAUUUAUGUACGUACUUGAUAUUCGAAGAGAUGAGAAUACCUUGCUUUCCUUUCGGAUUGUACCUUCCCGGCUAUUUCCUCUCUAUCAUGAUUUUUCCAUUUCUUAUAUCCUAUAUUUCAGAUAUCAUUCUAGAAUAUAGUUUCAAAAUAAGGAUUAAUUGACAUGCCACAUAUUAUCCCUAUACUCUGAUCGACCAAUUAAAUACCAAAUAAACUUAGGUAGGUCAUACUAGCGAAGGAAUUCCCUGUCUCUCCCCUCCUAGUUCUUGUCUCACAUCUCAGCCAGAGAUCAUAUCCCUAAGAUUUGAUACUAACUGUGACCCGCAUCCAAGAUAGGUAUACAUCACCCAUCUUGAGUCGCCAAAUACAUGGCACAUAAUACAACUAUAAACUUCUUUAAUACAACUGUCGUGUAAAAUACGACAAAACAUAGCUGAGAGUUUAAACAUGAAUAUUGCCUUCUAGACAAUAUCCACACUCAAUGGAGUCCUCAUUACAUUUAUUGUCACACUAUUUAACAGAAUAGUGAGGACUUCUAAUGCUAUCAUCUGGACCGUCACUCCGUUCCCCGACUAGUCCCAGCUAUAUUCUCAUUUUCUGAAGAGAACAAUGAAAGCAAAGGGUGAGCUCAACUAGCCAAGUAAGAAAUAUUAUGACUAAGAUAAUGCAGAAUAAAUAAUCCUUAGCCUUCAAUAGUAUAACAACUGAUAGAAUACAAUAGACAACAAGUUUUAGAUCAACAACUGCAGUAGAAUAAGCAAUACAUUAGAAGAGUCAAGUAGAGCAUAAAAUCUACUAUCUUCUAUGAUUUAAAAAGUUUUUCAUCAACUUUAUCGCUGAGACUCAGCUUAAUAAAUAAAAUUGAAUCAUCCCUGCAUCACAGCCAAGGAUAUUCAUGUAAUCAUCAAUGGUCAUGAUUAUACCGAAUAAUCCCUGGUCAUAAUCAUACCAACAACUGUCCAUCAAUGAACUACAGGCCAAUGAGGACUUUUACCACAUCAUUCGUCACAUUACGGUCAUGAUUAUACCGAAUAAUCCCUGGUCAUAAUCAUACCAAGUCCAUCUAUGCACGUAAGCCAAAGAUGACUUUCAUCACAAUAUAAGCAUGAGGAUGAUGACAAUGACAUAAUAAUUCAAUAAAACAAGUUCAAGGAUAAAUUUUAAAGAUUUAUAAUUUAAUUUAUCCAGAAAUCAAUAACAUCUAAAUUGUCAACAUGAUACUGCUUUGUAGAGUAAAAUUCAAGAAUAAUAUUCAUGUACCAAAAAUAAUUUUGACACAAAAGAAAUAUAUUUUUUGGGUGAAUUGUACCCCGUGAAUAGUACUUUGGGAAUAGUACCCUGUGAAUAGUACCCCGACACAAAAAGUGUCCCGAAUACCCGAGUGAAUGAUACUAGAGUAAAUAGUAAUUGGGUAAAUAGUAACUCGUGAAUAGUAAUUCGUGAAUAGUACACCGGCACGAAAAUGCCCUGAAUACCUGAGUGAAUAAUACUAGAGUGAAUAGUAACUGGGUGAAUAGUAACCCAUGAAUAGUAACUCGUAAAAGAAAAAUACCAAAGAAAUUGAUAUUCCAUGACGAGUUCAAAAGAAAUGAUAUCUCAUAUGAGUAUAAUAGAAUAUACGAAACUGCAAAUGGAUUUUCACCCGCCAUGCGGUAAUCCACGUAGACAUAUCAUUUCCANNNNNNNNNNNNNNNNNNNNNNNNNNNNNNNNNNNNNNNNNNNNNNNNNNNNNNNNNNNNNNNNNNNNNNNNNNNNNNNNNNNNNNNNNNNNNNNNNNNNNNNNNNNNNNNAACAGAAUAAUAAAGAAUGGAAUAACAGAAGAAUUCACCAUGCAUGCGGUAGUCCGCGUAGACAGGUUAUUCCAACAGAAUAAUAAAGAAUGGAAUAACAGAAGAAUUCACCAUGCAUGCGGUAGUCCGCGUAUACAGGUUUUUCCAGCACAAUAAUAAAGAAUGGAAUAACAAAAGAAUUCACCAUAGAUGCGAUAGUCCGCGUAGAUAAGUUAUUCAACCAGAAUAAUAAAGAAUGGAAUAAAAGAAGAAUUCACCAUGCAUGCGGUAAUCCGCGUAGGCAGGUUAUUCCAACAUAAUAAUAAAGAAUGGAAUAAACUAAGAAUUCACCAGACAUGCAGUAGUCCGCACAGACAGGUUAUUCCAACAGAAUAAUAAAGAAUGGAAUAACAACAGAAUUCACCACGCAUGCGGUAGUCCGCACAGACAGGUUAUUCCAACAGAAUAAUAAAGAAUGAAAUAACAACUCUUACGAGUAUUGAAAGAAAAUAACUUCUCUUUAUGAAUACGAAAGAAAUAAUACCCCUUACCUUAGAAGAAGACUGGAUACUAGAAUAGUGAGGUAGCAGACUUCUCUUCUUCUUUCUUUCUAUAAUUUCUCUCUAUAAUAAUUGCUCUAUAGUUUUAGUGAAUUGGUGAAAAAUAAUGAAUGAAUGAGCUUCUAUUUAUAGGAAAAUAUAGUUUCGAUAAUUGCACGUUUUGGGGCUCGAAAUAUUAUAGUAUAAUACCAUCCUCUUUUUCUUCAUUUUUAAUUUAGUCCUGCAAGUAUUAUCAAACUUGCACCACCUCCCCUAAUAGUAAAUCAUGCGAAUUAAUAGUUCAUUCAUGUGACUUAAUAGUAUAAUCAUGUGAAAAAACUAAUUACAGUAUAGUACCUUCAUCUAUACCUCCAUUUUUAAUUUAGUCAUGCAAGUAUUAUCAAUCUUGCACUAACUNNNNNNNNNNNNNNNNNNNNNNNNNNNNNNNNNNNNNNNNNNNNNNNNNNNNNNNNNNNNNNNNNNNNNNNNNNNNNNNNNNNNNNNNNNNNNNNNNNNNACAUGUGAAUUAAUCGCAAUUAAUUGCUCAUUUAUCCGGUGAAUUACCCGAUUGGUCAAUAUAAGCUCCAGACAUCAAUUAUUAUCGAAAUAAAUGUCGAUUUCCACUAACACUAAUAAUUCCCACACAAUGGAACUAUCAAUUUCAUCUUUAAUCAACACGAACAUAUUCAUCAUUAAUAUUAUAACUCUCAAUAUUUAACAACCAGGUCGUUCUCAGGAAAGAGGGGGAUUUCUGAUAAGGAUUUAUCCUUAUUGGCGCGCAAUUAGGUGAUCAAACCUCUCCUUGACAGAACUUCUAGACAUUGUCAAUAUUACAAAUAAUAAUAUGAAUAACUUUGCCAUCUCAAUUAUUGAUUUAAUAAUAUAACAUAUUAUGCGGAUGAUACUGUGACAAUAAUUGAAUCAAUAAUAUGAGAGAUAUGAUGCAGCAAUUACUGUAGCAAUAAUUGAGAAUAAACUGAGUGACUUCUUACGUAAGCAUCAAUAAUCAAUAUCGUGUGCUACUAUGCAACCACGCGUAUUACUGUACUUUUACCAUCGAUUAUUUUUAUGACAACUUGCUUACUUUGAAAAUUUUUCAAAUAUCACCCUUAACUUUAACCUUUUAUCAAUAUAACCACUUACUAAAUAAAUAAUAAUUGUAAGGAAAUUGAAUACUUUUAUUUCAUAAAAUUUGGGAUCUCACAAUAACACAUAUAGAGCAUCAACUUUUAUACUUUCUAAAGCCAUUUUUCAAACAUAAAACUGUUAUUUUACUUUCUUCCUACACACCAAUUUUUCACGAAUUUGAUACUCAACCCACACUAAUAUAUGAUAACAACUUAUUCUACAAUAUAACCCAAAUCAUAUAAUCAACGUUUGUAACAACAAAUCCACAAAAUCAAUUACAGAGAAGUUAAAUAAAAAAAAACUAAAACUUGGAAAUUUCGGAAUGAAUUAUACCUUAAUCCUCUUGAUUAUAUGCUAGCACAAGAUGAUGAUUAGGUUUAGCAAUUCCCCUCCAAUCACAGUGAUUCCUCUCUUGCUCUCUCUCCAAACUCUCUGUGUUUCACUGUGUUCCUCUCUUCCAAACUCUCUGACUAUAACCUUAGGAAGAAAAGAAUGCGUAGAAAAAUAAACUGGCUUCCACUAACUCACGUAUGCUUCAGUUAUAAAACCCAAACAGACGUCAGUUGAAUAAGCCAAAGGCCACAAGGCCUUAUUUGGCUACCACUUAAACCCCCAACUAGAUUAUUUUAAUAAUAUUUAUAUUAUAUAGUUACUACAUGUCACACUUUAUUUUGAUUAAUUUAAAUAACUUUAGUUUAGUUAAUUUAAAUAACUUAUAAUAAUAAUAAUAAUCUUAUUAUCAUUAUACUUAUAAUUAAUAAAUAAUUAUAUAUCUAAUUUAAUUAAUAAAUUAGAAACAUCACUUUAUUUAAUUAUUUAUUUCCUUUAAACUAAACAAUUCAUUUAAUAUAAUUAUUUUCUUAAAUAUUAAGCAAUUGAUUUAAUUUAAUUAUUUCCUUAAAUUAAAUCCUUCAAAUAAAAUUAUCAUUACUCAAUUUAAUUAACAUUAAUCAAUUUAGUUACUAAAUUAAUUCAUCACAAUUCAUCAAUUAUUUAUUUCCUCAAUAAAUAAAUUAUUUAAAAUAUUUAUUUAAUUUAAUAAAUAUUAAAUUAAAUUACAAAUUUCUCGAUCGUUACAGCUUCGGUCGUGCAACAGACGUUAUCAUCUUAAACUACAUAUAUAACCACAUCGAUAGUAACACCGUCAGCAACUGUGACUUAUUUUUCCCAUUGAACCUAUAAACUAGGGGUAACCUAGGAAUAGGUUGGGUUCCCAACUCCCUGACUUAAAGCGGUUUAAGUUCCAUCACAAGUAGUUAAACUUACUAAGAUCUCGUCAAAGUCUUAGUAAAAAAAUAAGUCAAGUCGUCACUUGAUUUUCUCGUAAAAAUUAUCUAACAAAAAUUAUGUCCAUGACCAACAUGUCAAGACUUACCAUUAAAGGUAAUCUCAUAUGCUCUAUAUAAAACAAUUUCAUUAUCACAUCAUAAUGAACUAAGCAAUGGAAGUGGCCAUAAUUUGAUGUUGUAACAAUAAAUUUUUAUUCCAUUUGCUUUCUUCAUCAUAUAAAGCAAUAGUAUUACUUGUUACUCAAAGUAAAUUAUUCCCUCACUAAGGGUAAUAAUAUAUCCACCUACUUGUAAAAAUAUAAUUAUAUAUUCACCUACUUGUGAAUAUUUUCAUAUUAAUUCAAGAUCACAACCAGUUAUGAAUCCAUAAAAAAAUAAAUUAUAAUGGAACUAGGCUUGACAUGUAUCUACGAGCAUAAUUCUUUUAUGCAUACAAGCCUUGGAGUUGUUUGAUAGAAAAGUGUUUGGAAGAAAAUUCGUUUUUCCAAACAAGUGGGGGAUUGUUAUAUAUUGCACCUUAUUUUAUACUUUUGAGACUUAUUAUUUGUCAUAUUUGAGUUUGAUAAAACUCAUUUGUGGAUAUAAUUUAAGUAAGUAUAAAAGGUGUAACUUAAUGUCCUAGAGAAUGAGAGUAAUUCAUUUGGUUCAAGUUGGAAUUAUAUGACUUGUGUUUAUCAAUGACUUAAGUGAAACAUUUGAUAAGGUGCAAGUUGUUUGUAAAAACUAGUUUUUCUUAGUUCUAUUAUAAUUAAUAAAUGAUUACUAGUUGCUUUAUUAGCAUAAGAGGUGUAAUCUUAUUUAAUUAUGUGAAACAAAAGAAACUCUCCAUUUUUCUAUUUAAAUUACAUUAUUAUUAAUAAUUUAUAACUUACAUCAUUAUGACUAAUGUGUAACUUACAACAUUAUAUCUAUAAUAACGUGUAAUUAAAAUAGAUAUAUAUAUAAUAUACUAUUAUAUAUGUAUACAUAUAUAUCUAUAUGUGUAGAUAUAUGAAGAGAUAUACAUAUAUGAGGAAUGGAGUAUACUUACAUGAGAAGAAAGCUUACACGUAAAAUUCUCUCUUCUUUCAGUUAUUUUUUUCUAUAAACAUAUAACUAUCACAAAGAAAUAUUCGACUGUAAUUUUCUGUGAAUUGCUAUCACGGAUUAUUCACCAAGGCUUGACAUAUAUCCUGGAGGUAUAUCGUCUGCAACUCAUAGCAAACCGAUCGCGGUGGGGGCGAUAAAGACCUUAAGGACAGGGACCACCCGUGUCACGUCUUCUACAACAAUCUUGACUCUACGAAGCUACGGUUCUAACAAUCUUAAGGUCUUUAUAUAUUUGUUAGUCAUGAUUUUGGUGAGAUGGAAGACAACACAGUUUUCAAAGAUAAGUGCCAUUUUUCUUGUAUCUAUUUUAUCAAUGAAAUUUUUAUGAUAAUUAGUAAUAUAUUGAGAUAUUAAGCUAAUUAUUUUUAUUGAUAAUUCUUGUUAGAAGAGGAUUGUGGAGAAAAAUGAAAGUGAAAAGAUUUGCAAUUUACAAGUUUGUAAAUUGAUAUGGAGAAGAUGAAGAGUCAUAAUGGAAAACACCAAAUUUUGAUGCCUAAAAUUUUUUCUAAACAGAUUGCGGUGUUCUUCGGAUUUAAUUCCAAAAGGUGUGUUUUUUAACGAUUGCCUUUAUUUUUAUAAAUGAUAACUCUGUAUCAUUUUGUAUGUGUAUAUACUUGAAAAUAUAUGUUUUAUUUAUUAUAUAUCAUGUGUAGAUGAUAUUAUAUGUUUGAGUAUUAUUUUACCUACAUUUUGUUGUAAUAAAUUAAUUAAUUAAUUUUGUGGGAUAAGAAAAGUAAUUAAAUUUUUGUUCAUGAUGGAAUAAAUUUAAUUUUGUACAUAUGUAUUUUGUUUAUAAUAUUUUAUGUGUAGAUAAAAUAUUAUGAUGUGUAUAUGUAUGUAUGAAAUUUGAGACAAUUAUUUUUCUUAUACACUAAUUGAGACUAAUUUAUUAUGAGAAAGUUGUAGUAAAAUUUGAGAAGUUUACUUGUCUCUAUGUAUAACAAAUUAGUUGUAAAUUAAUUUAUUUUGAGAAUAAAGUAAAUUUAUGUUCUUCUUGAACAAAAUUAUGCAUAGAAAGUUUGAGGUAAUAUUUAGUGUGUAAUAUUACUUGGUAUUUGUAUGCAUGAAUUUUGAGAUAAAUUACUUUGUUUGUGGAUAAUAAAUUAAUUAUCAACUAAUAGUUAGAAGAGAUAUUGUAGAAGUAGAUUUGGUUGAGUAAAUCUUAUAAACAAUAUGUUUUUGAUGUUGAGAAAACACUUAGAAAUGAUAUUGGUAGUGUUUUUGGGAUAAUCAUAAUUGAUAUAUAUUGAUUUAUUUUUAUGUUUACUUCUUGUCUAAGAAGUAGUAAAUUUUAAUGUGAUCAUAUGAAUUUUGUAUAUUCUAAUUGAGACAAACAUUUUAUUUUUUGAAUUUUUAUAAAUAUAGUGAAGUUCAAGUAUUUCAUAUUAUUAUGAAGAGAUUGUCUUGAAUUCUAUAUUGUAAAUGUCAAAAGAUAUAUUGUUUAUGAUAUUUCCUAUCCAAGUUGGGACAAAAAAAUACUUAAGGAUAUACUAAUUCAUGUGUGUGAAUUAUAUUUUCUUUCUACAUAAAUUAAUUUUGUGUGAUAAAUUAAUUUCUUAGAAAGUAAAUAUAAAUUUUUAUAUUUUAUUAUUUAUAUACAAAUAAAUUUGUGCAAUAUAAUGAGUUGUGCUAUAAUUUGUAUAUAAUGAAUUUUAUACUAUUUACAUAGAGUCAAGUGUUACGUGUUGGUAUACUUGAAAAAUGUACAUGUAUAAUUUUAAGUUCUCAUGUUAAAUAAUUUUUGGAUUUGAGAUUUUAUGUAAUUCAGAAAAUAAGAGCUUGUUUUCUUAUAUGGGGGUAUUCUAAAAGAUUCUUAUGUUGAAGCAAUCUAUAUAUGAAUAACUAAUACAUAAAAUAUACAAGAACUUAUUUUUUGUUUUGAGAAAUGUUCCUUAAUAUUCUCACAUGGAAGUAAUAUUUAUAGGAACAUUGUCACAUAAAAUGUCAAUUAAUCUGAAAUUUAUUUUAAGUGGUGAGCAUAAUAUUGUGAAGUGAAAUUAUUCAAUGAGAUUUCAAUUAUUUAAAAGUGUGGGGGUGAUUCUUUAAGAUUUUUAUUUAUAGACUAAAUUUGGCCUUUGAACUAUUUGGAGCAUAAUUUUAUUUAUGUAAGAAAUAGUAAGGCUUAUGAAUUUCUUGUUGCAAAAUUCAAUUUGAUUGUGUAGUUCUGUGAAAUGAAAGUCUUUGAAAUACAAACUUUUGAAUAACAUUGAAAUAUGAACUUAUUUUACUUAAUUAAUUCUCUAAGGUCCUAGAAAGUUAUAAGUUGAACCUAUAGCUAGAAGGAACAAUAUUAAAUUGGUGAAGAAAAUUAAUAUAAUAAUUUGAUAAAUAAAAUACCUAUUUUAUUAGCCUAAAUAUGAUCUAAAAUAUUUAUUGUGAUUUAGUUCAAUAGUGAGAUUGAAACUAAGUUAUAAAUAUUCAAGUGGGUACAUAUUAGGUGAUAAUAUGUGCAUUUUAACCUUGAGAUUCUAUCAGAUAUAGAAUUAUUUAUAUGUUUACACUAACAAUAUAAUUAUAUAAACUAUAAUGUGAUAGUUUUUGUGUAUAUUAAUGAUAUGUUGAUCAUUUUACAUAGUAUUGUUAACGUAAACGAGUUUAAGAAAUAUCUAAUUUUGUUUUAUGUUGAAAGACUUGUAAAAUAGAUGUUAUCUUAUAUCAUGUGAAAACAUUGUGAUGAUUCCAACUAAACCAAUUAAAUUGUAUUGAGAGGCUAUACUAAACUAAGUUUGAUAUACCUUGAGAUUGAAGAAUUUAAUAAUUCUUUAAUAGUAGUGGUACACUGAAAGUUAAUUAUGUUAUAGCUAUUGUAAAUCUGAAGUACACAUUCGCUAGUGGCAGCCUUGUGUUUGAUAUGCAAUGCACGAGAUCAGAUAUUACAUACAGUUUUAAACUUAGUAUACUAAUGAUUUACAUUGGUUUUUGUUAGAUCUCUCAAUGUUUUAAUAGAUCACAUAAGUGUCACUUAUAUUUUAGUGAGUUAAAUUAUAAAUUUAUAAGUAGGUGAAUUUUUACUCAAUCUUGGGUUUUGUUUCUUAGAUGAGUAAGAAACAAAUGAGUAUUUCCCAUUUCACAUUUCACAAUAUGAAUCUAAUGUUAUUAUUUUAUGAGGGAAGUUUAAUGGAUUAUGAUGUUUGUUAAAACAUUGAUUGUAGCCUAGUCUAAAGCCUCCUAUUUCACAAUAUUGUGUUAGUGAAAUUUUUUAUGUAGUACAAAUUAUUAAUCUUGGAUUCAUAGCUAGUUGUGAAUAUAUAAUUAUAUUUUUACAAGUAGGUGGAUAUAUUAUUAUAUACCCUUAGUGAGGGAAUAAUUUACUUGGAGUAGCAAGUAAUACUAUUGCUUUAUAUGAUGGAGAAAGCAAAUGGAAUCAAAAUUUGUUGUUAAAACAUCAAAUUGUGGUCACUUCCAUUACUUAGUUCAUUAUGAUGUGAUAAUGAAAUUGUUUUAUAUAGAGCAUAUGAGAUUACCUUUAAUGGUAAGUCUUGACAUGUUGGUCAUAGACAUAAUUUUUGUUAGAUAAUUGAUACAAGAAGGUAUUAUAAUAUUUAUCUAUGAGAAAGUCAAGUGACGACUUGACUUAUCUUUUUAGUAAGACUUUGACGAGAUCUUAGUAAGUUUAACUACUUGUGAUACGAAACUUAAACCACUUUGUGUCAGGGGUGAUGGGAACCCAACCUAUUCCUAGGUUACCCCUAGUUUAUAGGUUCAAUGGGAAAAACAAGUCACAGUUGCUGACUGUGUUACUAUCGAUGUGGUUCCAUAUGUAGUUUAAGAUAGUAAUGUCUGUUGCACGCUUGAGGUUGAGUUAUACUCUUAACAAAGUUGUUGUGUUCUUAGCAACAGAAACACAUGUGAAACACUUUGCCUAUAUGAACGAGAAGUGGAACCGCUUCUUAUAGAGGGUUGUGGUUUACUCUCUUAGAGGUUCAUGAAAUAGGGUAUUGCGCAUGGCCAUAUUAGCGCAAAGAAAUUGAGAAUACUCACCGUGGUAGGAGAAUUUUGUGUGUGUGUGUGUGACAAUUCCGGUCAUAUCAUAUAGAAGUAGAGGUUCAAUCUACGGACACCUUCAACUUCGAUGUGACUUUGAGUUGUUUACACUAAGGAAAUGUUCAAUGUUCGUCACACAUUCUUUUAUGCACACAUGCCUUGGAGUUGUAUGAUAGAAAGUUGUUUGGAUGAAAAGUAGUUUUUCCAAAUAAGUGAUAGAAGAUUGUUUGAUAAAACUAUUUUUCUUUAGUUUCAUUUAAUAGAAGUUUAUUUUAUUUUGGAACAAAAGGAAAAUAGUGAGACUAUUCAAAUUCUAUUUAACUCCUAAUUAUUACUAAUAUGUAACUUACAUAAUUAGUACUAAUAAGUAUAGUUAAAUAUAUAAUUGAAUAGUUAUAAUGUAACUUAUAUAUAUGUGUGUUUGUGUGUGUGUAUAUAUAUAUAUAUAUAUAUAUAUAUAUAUACACAUAUAUAUAUAUACAUAAGAGAUAUGAAUAUGGUAUAUAAAGAAGUUACAUGGAAGAUUUGCACAAGUGAACUUUUCUUCUAUCUUCUCCAUUCUUCUUACAAACAAAUACCUACUACAAAGUAGUGUUCAAUUGGAAUUUUCUGUGAAUUGCUAUCAUGGAUUAUUUACCAAGGCUUGACAUAUAUCCUGGAGGUAUUAUAAUAUUUUCUUGUAUCUAUUUUAUCAAUGGAAUUUUUAUGAUAAUUAGUAAUAUAUUGAGAUACUAAGCUAAUUAUUUUUAUUGAUAAUUCUUGUUAGAAGAUGGAUUGUGGAGAAAAAUAAAAGUGAAAAGAUUUGCAAUUUACAAGUUUGUAAAUUGCUAUGGAAAAGAUGGAGAGUCAUCAUGGAAAACACCAAAUGUUGAUGCCUAAAAUUUUUUCUAAAGAGAUUGCGGUGUUCUUCGGAUUUAAUUCCAAAAGGUAUGUUUUUUAACGAUUGCCUUAAUUUUUAUAAAUGAUAUUUGUUUAUCAUUUUAUAAGUAUAUAUACAUGAAUGGUAUAUAUGUGAUGUAUUAUAUCAUGUGUUGAUGAUAUUUGCAUGUGUAAGUAUUGUUUUGCUAAUGAUCAUAUAUAAUAAAUUAAUUUGAUUAGUUUUAUUUGAUUUGGAGAUAAUUUGAUAAUUGUUCAUGGUGGAACAAACUUUAACUUGUGCUUAUAUAUUGACUAGUAAUAUUUUGAGUAGAUAAUAUUGCUAAAUGUGUAUAUGCAUGAGUUUUAAGAAAAUUAUUAUUCUUAUAAACUAAUUGAAAUUAAUUUAUUAUUAGUGUUUGUAGUAAAAGUUGUGAAAUUUACUUUUCUCUAUGUAUAACAAAUUAGUUGUAAAUUAAUUUAUUUUAAGAAUAAAGUAAAUUUAUAUUCUUCUUGAACAAAGUUAUGCAUAUAAAUUUGAGGUAAUAUUUAGUAUGUAAUAUUACUUAGUAUUUGUAUGUAUGAAUUUUGAAUAGAUUACUUUGUUUGUGGAUAAUAAAUUAAUUAUCAACUAAUAGUUGGAAGAGAUAUUGUAGAAGUAGACUUGGUUGAGUAAAUCUUGUAUACAAUAUGAUUUUGAUGUUGAGAAAAUACUUAUAAAUGAUAUUCGUAGUGUUUUUGGGAUAAUCAUAAUUGAUAUAUAUUGAUUUAUUUUUAUGUGAACUUAUUUCACUUAAUUAAUUAUCUAAAGUUCAACAAAGUUAUAAACUGAACCUAGAAAGAGCAAUAUUGAUUUGGUGAAGGAAAUCAAUAUAAUAAUUUGGUAAAUAAAAUACCUAUUUUAUUAGCCUAAAUAUGAUCCAAAAUAUUUAUAGUGAUUUAGUUCAAUAAUGAGUUUGAAACUAAGUUAUAAAUAUUAAAGUGGAUACAUAUUAGGUGAUAAUAUGUGCAUAUUUACCUUGGAAUUCUAUCGAAUAUAGAAUUGUUUAUAUGUUUACACUAACAAUAUAAUUGUAUAAACUAUAAUGUGAUAGUUUUUGUUUAUAUUAAUGAUAUGUUGAUCAUUUUACAUAGUAUUGUUAACGUAAAUGAAUAGUUUAAGAAAUAUCUAUUUUUAUCUUUAUGUUGAAAGACGUGUAAAAUAGAUGUUAUCUUAGUAUUAUGUGAAAACAUAGUGAAAAUUUCAACAAAACCAGUUUAAUAGUAUUGAGACGCAAUAUUGAACUAAGUUUGAUAAACCUUGAGAUUGAAGAAUUUAAUAAUUCUUUAAUAGUGGUGGUAUACUGGAAGUUAAUUCUGAUAUAGCUAUUGUAAAUCUGAAGUACACAUAUGCUAGUGGGAGCCUUAUGUUUGAUAUGCAAUGGACAAGAUCAGAUAUUACCUAUAGUUUUAAACUUAGUAUAAAUAUUACUUCCACGUGAGAAUAUUAAGGAACACUUCUCAAAAUAAAAAAUAAGUUCUUGUACAUUUUAUGUAUUAGUUAUUCAUAUAAAGAUUGCUUCAACUUAAGAAUCUUUUAGAACACCCCCACAUAAGAAAACAAGCUCUUAUUUUCUGAAAUUACAUAAAAUCUCAAAUCCAAAAAUUAUUUAACAUAAGCAUUUAAUAAAUUAUACAUGUACAUUUUUCAAGUAUACCGACACGUAACAUGUAUGUAAUAAUCCUCUACAUUUUGUAAAUGAUUCUUUACUCACAAUUCAGUUAUGAAACUGAAUAGUCUUCAUCUUCUUCCAUCUAUCAUCUUUACACAGCAGCAUAUAUUGAGGUUCAAAGUGAGUUGCUAUCACUAAGAACUAGUACAUACUUGACAUAUAUCCAGGAGGUGAAUUGCUGGUAGCCUUUAGUAAACCUUAGUGGUAAGGGGCAAUAAACACCUUAAGGACAGGGAAUACCCGUGUCAAAUCCUUGUUUCUUUUAAUUUGUAUUCAUUUUACUUUUUUAAUCUUAAGGUGUUUAUCGAAAUGGAUACAAAGUCUUUCAAAAUCAUGAACCAGGAUUUUGUCAAGCUCGAUCGUUUUGAUGGAAAUAAUUUCAGUCGUUGGAAAGAUAAACUGAAAUUUCAACUCAUAGUUUUGAAAAUUAUGUAUGUUUUAGACCUUAACUUCAGCCUAUUCCAGAAGAUCCCAAACCAGUAGAUGGUCCGCAGCCAGAUAAUGAUACCAUCGAAGCACUGAAAGAGCAAAGAAGGAAAAGGACUGAAGAUGAGGAACUUACUCGUGGACAUAUCCUCAACACGCUGUCAGAUCGUUUCUACGAUUUCUAUAACAAUAUUCAGUCACCAAGGGAGUUAUGGGAGGCUUUGGAAUUCAAAUACAAGGCUGAGGAAGAAGGUACAAAUAAAUAUUUAGUAUCUAAAUAUUUUGAUUAUAAAAUGGUUGAUAACAAACCUAUUUUGGAGCAAGUGCAUGAGCUCUAGGUUAUUAUUAAUAAGUUGAGGGUUCUUAAAAUUGUCUUGCCUAAAACUUUUCAAGUUGGAGCAAUAAUUGUAAAAUUACCUCCAUCUUAGAAAGAUUUUGCUAAAAAGUUGAUGCAUAAAUCUGAGGAUAUUCCUUGGAUCAAAUUCAGAAGCAUCUUUGUAUUGAGGAGGAGGCCCGAAAAUGCGAUGUUAAGAAUUUGAUUCAAGGACAGUCUAGUGUAAACUAUUUGGAGGCAAGAUCAUUUAAAGGGAAAGGACCUGGAGUUAAAAAAGAUAAUCAUAAGUUCAAGCAUUCUGGACAGAAAAAUAAAAAAUCUGAUCCUAAUAAGAGAAAGGGUAAGUGUCAUGUUUGUGGAAAAACUGGACACUAUGCCAGAGAAUGCAAACAACGCAAAAGUGGCUCCGCUAACAUGGUUGAGGAGAACCUUGUUGCCAUGAUAUCUGAUCUUAGUCUUGAUGUGACUAUGAUUUCUGAAGUUAACAUGGUAAGUGAGCUGAAUGGUUGGUGGUUGGACUCCGGAGCUACUGUCCAUAUUUGUAAUAAUCGAGAAAUGUUUAAAACAUUUGAAGAGAUUAUUGACAGGAAGUUCAGAUGGGAAAUAGUUUAGUGGCUAAAGUUGAUGGAAAAGGAACUGUGGAAGUUAAUUUCACCUCCGGGAAGAAGCUAACCUUGCUAAAUGUGUUGUUUGUGUCAGAAAUUAGAAAAAAUUUAAUUUCUGUUGAUCUUUUAGAUAGUAAAGGUUUUAAAAUUUUUGUUGAGUCCGACAAAGUCAUUCUUUCAAAGAAUGGUGUUUUUGUUGGAAAGGAUUAUGCUUGUAAUGGAAUGUACAAAUUAUCUAUUAAUAAGAACAGUUCUUUUUCUGCUUAUAUCACUUGUGCAAUUUCUUUAUGGCAUAGUCGUUUAGGACAUAUAAAUUCAAAGAAUUUGAAAAAUAUGCAUGCAAUAAAAUUGAUUGAUAUUGGAAGUACUGAACUUGAGAAAUGUGAAAUUUAUGUUAAAUCAAAAAUUGUGAGGAAACCAUUUCCAAAUGUACAUAGAGAAUCACAAUUAUUAGAUUUAAUACAUACUGAUAUCUGUGAGUUAAAUGGAAUAUUGACAAAGGGUGGAAAACGUUAUUUCAUUACUUUUAUAGAUGAUGCUAGCAGAUAUUGUUAUGUGUUUUGUUGAGAACAAAAGAUGAGGCAUUUAACUCAUUCAAAAAAAAUACAAAUUAGAAGUAGAAAAUCAACUUGAGAAGAAGAUUAAAAUUUUACGUUCUGAUAAAGGCAUGAAAUAUUGUUUGAAUGCUUUUAAUGCAUUUUGUGAAGAAAAUGGCAUUAUACAUCAAACAAGUGCAGCAUAUACACCUCAACAAAAUGGUUUAGCAGAAAGAAAAAAUCGUGUGUUUCAUGAUAUUAUUAAUUGUAUGUUAAAUCAUGCUUGUUUGCCAAAUAAUUUAUGGGGUGAAGCACUUCUUACUGCAUGUCAUAUUUUAAAUAGGAUUCCUAGUACUGUAAUUAAAACUAGUCCUUAUAAAAUAUGGAAAGGCAGAAAACCUAACAUAAAUUAUUUUAAAGUGUGGGGGUGUAUAGCUUAUUUUCGUGUUCCUGAUCCUAAAAGGACUAAGUUAGGAGUUAGAGCUAUUAGAAGUAUAUUUGUUAGAUAUGCUGAGAAUAGUAAAGCAUACAGGCUUCUUAAUUUAGAGUCUAAUGUUAUAACUUAGUCAAGAGAUGUGGAAUUUUUUGAAAAUAAAUUCUCAAAAGAUGUUGAGAAUGUGGAUAUGCCUAAAUUUGAUGAUCCUAGAGGUCCUAUAAGGUCUAAUGUUGAGGUUGAAGAACCUAGUGUUCUAAUUCAACCAAGUGGACCUAGAAGGAGUACUAGAGCUAGAAAAGAUAAAUAUUUAGAUGAUGAUUUCAUUUCAUCAUAGUCUCUAUUAUUUUUUGUGGAAGGGCACCAAAAUAAUGAGGUGGUAAACGAAAUACCCUAUGUAUAUAGUCUUGAGACUGAUCCUAAAUCAUUUAAAGAAGCUAUGGCUUCUAUGUAAGACCCCAACUUUUAUGAAUAAAGAUUUUUUUUUCUCGAAAUAUAUUUUUGAAUAUUAUGGUGUAGAUUUGAUAUAAUGUUAUAGUUAUGGUUAAUAUUUUCAAAUUUUGCAAAGUAAGCAAGUGGUUAUAUAAUAUUCGAUUAGUCGGGGAAUAUUCGUUUUAACAGGGAAUAUUCGUACGAUGACAUAAUCAUUGGUGGAUCCCACUAAGGAUGUAUUGUCGUAAUUAGAAAAUGACAAAAUUAUCUUUUUAUAAAAAUAACAGCGAAAGUUUUACCGUUAAACUGUUGAACUACCCGGUGGUAAAAGUACAGUAAUACGCAUGGUUGCAUAGUAGCACACGGUAUUGAUUAUUGAUGCUUACGUGAGAAGUCACUCAGUUAUACUCAAUUAUUGCUACAGUAAUUGCUGCAUAAUAUCUCUCAUAUUAUUGAUUCAAUUAUUGUCACAGUAUCAAUAUUUUAUUGAGAUGGCAAAGUUAUUCAUAAUAUUAUUUGCAAUAUUGAUGAUGUCUAGAAAGUUCCAUCGAGGAGAGGUUUGGUCACCUAAUUGCGCGCCAAUAGGGAGAAAUCCUUAUCGAAAAGCCCCCUCUUUCCUGGAAAUGAUCUGGUUGUUAAAUAUUAUGAGUUAUAAUAUUAAUGAUGAAUAAGUUCGUGUUGAUUAAAGAUGAAAUUGAUAGUUCCAUUGUGUUGGGAUUAUUAGUGUUAGUGGAAAUCGACAUUUAUUUCGAUAAUAAUUGAUUUCUGGAGGUUAUAUUGACCAAUCGAGUAUUUAAUCGAAUAAAUGAGCAAUUAAUUGUUAUUAAUUCGCAUGCUUAUAACUAUUUUUUCACAUGUGUGUACUAUUGAUUCACAUGNNNNNNNNNNNNNNNNNNNNNNNNNNNNNNNNNNNNNNNNNNNNNNNNNNNNNNNNNNNNNNNNNNNNNNNNNNNNNNNNNNNNNNNNNNNNNNNNNNNNNNNNNNNNNNNNNNNNNNNNNNNNNNNNNNNNNNNNNNNNNNNNNNNNNNNNNNNNNNNNNNNNNNNNNNNNNNNNNNNNNNNNNNNNNNNNNNNNNNNNNNNNNNNNNNNNNNNNNNNNNNNNNNNNNNNNNNNNNNNNNNNNNNNNNNNNNNNNNNNNNNNNNNNNNNNNNNNNNNNNNNNNNNNNNNNNNNNNNNNNNNNNNNNNNNNNNNNNNNNNNNNNNNNNNNNNNNNNNNNNNNNNNNNNNNNNNNNNNNNNNNNNNNNNNNNNNNNNNNNNNNNNNNNNNNNNNNNNNNNNNNNNNNNNNNNNNNNNNNNNNNNNNNNNNNNNNNNNNNNNNNNNNNNNNNNNNNNNNNNNNNNNNNNNNNNNNNNNNNNNNNNNNNNNNNNNNNNNNNNNNNNNNNNNNNNNNNNNNNNNNNNNNNNNNNNNNNNNNNNNNNNNNNNNNNNNNNNNNNNNNNNNNNNNNNNNNNNNNNNNNNNNNNNNNNNNNNNNNNNNNNNNNNNNNNNNNNNNNNNNNNNNNNNNNNNNNNNNNNNNNNNNNNNNNNNNNNNNNNNNNNNNNNNNNNNNNNNNNNNNNNNNNNNNNNNNNNNNNNNNNNNNNNNNNNNNNNNNNNNNNNNNNNNNNNNNNNNNNNNNNNNNNNNNNNNNNNNNNNNNNNNNNNNNNNNNNNNNNNNNNNNNNNNNNNNNNNNNNNNNNNNNNNNNNNNNNNNNNNNNNNNNNNNNNNNNNNNNNNNNNNNNNNNNNNNNNNNNNNNNNNNNNNNNNNNNNNNNNNNNACAGUUGUUGGUAUGAUUAUGACCAGGGAUUAUUCGGUAUAAUCAUGACCAUUGAUGAUUACAUGAAUAUCCUUGGCCCGUAGUGCAGGGAUGAUUCGAUGAUGUGGUUUAUUUAUUAAGCUGAGUCUCAGCGAUAAAGUGGAUGAAAAACUUUUUAAAUCAUAGAAGAUAGUAGAUAUCAUGCUUUACUUAACUCUUCUAAUGGAUUGCUUGUUCCGCUACAGUUAAACUCGAUGUUAUUGUAUUUUAUCAGUUUAACACUGUUGAAGGCUAACGAUAAUUUAUUAUGCAUUAUCUUAGUCAUAAUAUUUCUUACUAGGCAAUUUGAGCUCACUCAUUUGCUUUCAUUGUUCUCUUCAGGAAAUGAGAACGUAGCCGGGACUAGUCGGGAUGUUGGCAUUAGUAGUCCUCACUAUUCUAUGAAAUAGUGUGAUAAUAAAUGUAUUGAGGACUUCAUUUGAGUUUGAAUACUGUCUAUUAGAUAAUAUUCGUGUAAAAACUCUCAGCUACGCUGUUGUCGUUUUGUAUAAAAGAAUAUUAUAUUUUUUUUUGUACCAUAUAUUUGGCGACUCGGAAUGGGUGAUGUAUACCUAUUUUGGGGGCGUCACAGUUGGUAUCAAAGCUUAGGGAGAUGAUCCCUGGCUGAGAUAUGAGACAAGUACUAGGAGGGGAGAGACGGAGAAUUCCUUAGCUAGUAUGACCUACCUAAGUUAUUUGGUAUUUAAUUGCUUGGUCAGAGUAUAGGGAUAAUAUGUGACAUGUCAAUUAACCCUUGUUUUGUACCAGUGUUUGAAAAUGGCAUCUGAAAAUGUUGAGAUCAGCAAUGAAGCACAUGAGACCGUUGAGUCACCAACGAUCAAUACCCAGGAAAUUUUCAACAGGAAGAUAAUAAUCCUCAGGUAAACAACAACACCGAUCAAAUGAUGAACGAUGAGAUGUUCAGAGGCUUUAUGCAAUUCAUGCAACAUCAGGUGAGAGCGGCUCCUAUUCAAAAUGUAGGUGAAAACACUGACAACUCUCAGACGGUCACCGCUAAACAGUUCAAGGAGUUGGGACCACCAGAGUUUUUGGGAGAGCCAAAACCUCUUAAGGUGGAGACGUGGAUAAAACAGAUCACCAAGAUAUUUGAUGUCUUGGGAUGCUCCGAGGAGCAAAAGGUUCCCUUUUCCACCUUCAUGUUGCGAGGAGAGGCAGAUUACUGGUGGGAAUCUGUAAAGCGUACUCAACCUGCCGCACUGAAGAUAUCUUGGGAGAAGUUCCAAGAACUGUUCAAUGACAAGUACUUUCCCGAAAGUAUUCGUCACAUGAAAGAGGUAGAGUUUAUCAAGCUGGAGCAAAAUAAUAUGAUCGUGUCGCAGUACGAAGAUAAGUUUGUCGAGUUGUCUCGGUUUGUGUCACACUUGGUUGAUAAUGAGGAGAGAAUAACACGGAUGUUUCUAAGAGGUUUGAAACCCGUGAUACGUCAAUACCUUAUCUCUCACAAACUGUGUUUGUAUUCCGAUGUUGUAAAUAGGGCUCAGUUAUUGGAGCGCGAUAAUGAGUCAACCCAACCAAGAGAGAGCAGCCGACAAGUCGAUAAUACCAGUGGUAGCAGUCAUCGAAGCGGUGACAACAAACUUGGAGGGAAUCAACAUGCCAGAAAUUGUAACCACUUCGGUGGUAAUCAUGGCCAAGAUAAUAGAAGUUGAAAUUUCAAGAAGAGGAAAUUCAAUAAUGAUGGAAAGACGUCAACACCAGCACCUGUUGUUAAGGAAGGAGAACGAUCGCCGGUCGUAUGUUACAAAUGCGGAGGGGAGGGACACAUCAGUCCAAACUGUAUGCAGCAGUCAAAAGCAUGUUAUAAUUGUGGAAGAGAAGGUCACCUAGCCCGAUUUUAUCAUGCACCAAAGUCAAGUCCAACUGGAAUGGAGGCAUCAAAGGCCGUCCCAGACAAGAUAAAACCGGUAUUUCAAGGGAGGGCGUUUGUUGUAACCUCCCAAAAAGUGAGGAAUCCGAAAGAAGUGAUCACAGGUAAGCUAAUAAUAAAAUCUAACGAAGUCUAUACCAUAUUUGAUACCGGUUCUACCCAUUCCUUUAUUUCUCCUACUUGCGCUCAACGUUUAAAUUUGACUUCGGAGAAAUUAGACUUUGACUUAUCAUUUGAAACUCUGUUGGGAGAAACCUUCAUUACAUCCAAUGUUUAUAAGUCUUGUUUGAUUCAAAUCGGUAACUGCAUGUUACCUGUCGAUCUUAUCUCUUUGAAAAUACUUGCAUUUGAUGUGAUUUUAGGGAUUGAUUGGUUAACUACUCAUCAUGCUAAAAUUGAUUAUUUUCGUAAAGUUGUUAGCUUUCAUAUUCCUAACCAACCUAUUAUGCGAAUUUAAGAAAUUAAACCACUAAAGUCAAUCACUGUCAUAUCAAGCCAUAAAGCUAUUCGUUUAUUAAAAAAUGGAUGUUAAGCUUUCUUAGCCCAUGUCACGGAUUUAAAUAAAAAUACGUCAGAUUUGAAUGAUAUUUCUAUUGUUAAUAAAUUUUAUGACGUAUUCCCUGAAGAACUUCCUGGCUUACCCCCAGAGCAUGAAAUUGAAUUUUAUAUCGACCUUGAAUCUGGUACAAAACCCAUUUCCAAAGCCCCAUAUCGAAUGGCUCCUAUUUAACUUCAGGAGUUAAAAACCCAACUACAGGAAUUGUUAGACAUCGGUUUCAUUCGACCUAGUACGUCUCCUUGGGGUGCUCCUGUUCUAUUCGUGAAGAAGAAAGAUAGAAGUAUGCGACUUUGUAUUGAUUAUCGGGAGUUGAAUCAUGUCACCAUUAAAAAUAGGUACCCGUUACCUAUUAUUGAUGAUCUGUUUGACCAGUUGCAAGGCGCCAAAUUCUUUUCAAAGAUCAAUCUUCGUUCUGGAUAUCAUUAAUUAAAGAUUAAAACUGAUGACAUUCCAAAGAUUUCAGAACUCGGUACAAGCAUUACGAAUUCCUAGUCAUGUCUUUUGGAUUGACUAAUGCUCUUGCUGCCUUCAUGAAUAUGAUGAACCGAGUAUUCAAGGAAUAUUUAGAUCACUUUGUGGUUUUCUUUAUUGAUGACAUCCUCAUUUAUUCCAAAAGCCGUAAAGAUCAUGAGCAACACUUGAGGGCUGAUACUUCAAAAGCUUCGUAAAAAUAAGCUAUAUGCCAAGUUGAAGAAAUGCGAGUUCUGGCUUGAGGAAGUAGAAAUCCUUGGGCAUGUGAUAUCAAAUCAUGGAAUAUCUGUUGACCCGGUAAAGAUUGAAUAAAUUCAAAGCUGGGAGCAACCUAAGUCAGUGAUCGAAGUACGUAGCUUUCUCUGCUUAGCUGGUUAUUAUCGGAGAUUUGUAGAAGGAUUUUCUCGAAUCGCUACUCCAUUAACUCAGCUGACUCGAAAAGAUACAAAAUUCGGUUAGAGUGAGGAAUAUGAGAAGAGUUUUCAAGAAGUCAAGAGAAGACUCAUUUCAGCACCUGUUCUGAUAAUACCACUUGGUUCGAAGGGAUUUGUCAUCUACAGUGAUGCUUCAGGCAAAGGUUUAGGAUGUGUUCUCAUGCAACAUGGGAAAGUCAUAGCUUAUGCCUCACGACAACUCAAAGAAUAUGAGAGAAAUUAUCCUACUCAUGAUCUAGAGUUGGCAGCUGUCGUUUUUGCGCUUAAUAUUUGGAGCCAUUACCUGUAUGGAGAGAAGGUGGAGAUCUAUACAGAUCAUAAAAGCCUCAAAUAUUUCUUCACUCAAAAGGAACUCAACAUACGGCAAUGACGAUGGCUUGAGCUGUUGAAAGAUUACAAUCAUACCAUUCAAUACCAUCGUGGAAAAACGAACAUAGUAGCUGACGCAUUGAGUAGAAGAUCAUAUGCAGGUACGAGUGUGAUAUUGUCAAUGCAAAGGACCAUUUUGUAUAACUUAUAAAGGAUGGAGAUAGAGUUAAAGACACCAGGGACCCAUGUGAUGAUUGCGAAUAUACGAGUAAAACCGACUUUAAUCGAUAAAGUUAAAGCUGCUCAAGCUACAGACCUGGAGCUGAUGCGUAUGAGGAAGAAAGUGCAAGAAGGUGCUAUUCCGGAAGCAAGAAUCGAUGAAGAAGGAAUACUUCGAGUCAACUCCAGACUUUUUGUUCCUAACGAUUCUGACUUGAAGUAUAAAAUCAUGAUGGAGGCGCACAACACACCGUUUGCAAUCCAUCUUGGGAGUACCAAAAUGUAUCGUGAUCUUCGACAUACAUUUUUGUGGAGCAAUAUGAAGAGAGAGAUAGCGGGGUUUAUCUUAAGGUGUCUAACUUGUCAAUGAGUCAAGGCAAAACAUCAAGUGCCAAAAGGUCCAUUGCAACCACUUGAAAUUCCAGAAUGAAAGUGGGAGCACAUUACCAUGGAUUUCGUUACUGGUCUUCCCAAGGUUUCUCAAGGCAUAGAUGCGAUUUGGGUCAUUGUUGAUAGAUUGACCAAGUCUGCUCAUUUCUUAUCGAUACGAGAAACUUAUACACUUGAACGUCUUGCUUGUAUGUACAUAAACGAGAUUAUAAGAUUGCAUGGAAUGCCAGUAUCCAUAGUUUCUAAUCGAGACCCAAGAUUCACUUCAAGAUUUUGGUUUUGUUUGCAAAAAGCUAUGGGCACGGAUUUACGAUUUAGUUUGGCAUAUCAUCCUCAAAUGGACGGGCAGUCGGAGAGGACUUUUCAAACUUUUGAAUAUUUAUUAAGACUCUGUGUCCUUGACUUUAAAUGAAGAAGGGACAAGUUCUUACCAUUAGUGGAGUUUUCCUAUAACAACAGUUAUCAAGCAAGUAUUGGCAUGACUCCAUUUGAGGCGUUGUAUGGAAGAAAGUGUCGUUCUCCAGUAUGUUGGGAUGAGGUGGGUGAAGCAAUGUUGUUGGGACCAAAGUUGGUACGUAUGACUACGAAAAAGAUUCAAACGAUCCGACAACGUAUAAAAACCUCACAAGAUCGAAAAAAGAGUUAUGUUAAUCUUCAUCGAAAGGACGUGGAAUUCAAUAUUGGAGAUCAUGUGUUGUUACGUGUUGCUCCAUGGAAAGGAGUUAUGAGAUUUGGAAAGAGAGGAAAGCUCAAUCCUCGAUUCAUUGGCCCAAUUGUAAUCCUUGAUCGAGUAGGAACUGUGGCCUAUAGAAUUGCCUUACCGCCAAGUAUGUCUCAUGUUCAUAAUGCUUUUCACAUAUCUAUGUUACGUAAAUAUGUGAAAGACCCGAACCACAUUAUUGAAUUAGAACCGAAUGAGAUAGCGGAAGAUUUAACGUAUGAAGAGGUACCUGUUAAAAUCUUAGAUAAGAAGGAUGAUAUUCUACGCUCCAAGGUUAUACCUCAAGUCAAAGUUUUGUGGAGAAACCACGAUGUUGAGGAAAUGACCUGGGAGUUAGAAUCUGAAAUGAAGUCAAGGUAUCCUCACCUCUUCGACAUACCAGGUACGCACCCUAAUUUCGAGGACGAAAUUUCAUAAGAAGGGGAGGUUUUAAGACCCUAACUUUUAUGAAUAAAGAUUAUUUUUUUUCGAAAUAUAUUUUUGAAUAUUAUGGUGUGGAUUUGAUAUAAUGUUAUAGUUGUGGGUAAUAUUUACAAAUUUUGCAAAGUUAGCAAGUGGUUAUAUAAUAUUCGAUUGGUCGGGGUAUAUUCAUUUUAACAGGGAAUAUUCGUACAACGGCACAAUCAUUGGUGGACCCCACAACGGAAGUAUUGUCGUAAUUAAAAAAUGACAGAAUUAUCUUUUUAUAAAAUAAUAGCGAAAGUUUUACCGUUAAACUGUUGAACUACAUGGUGGUAAAAGUACAGUAAUACGCGUGGUUGCAUAGUAGCACACGGUAUUGAUUAUUGAUGCUUACGUGAGAAGUUACUCAGUUAUACUCAAUUAUUGCUACAGUAAUUGCUGCAUCAUAUCUCUCAUAUUAUUGAUUCAAUUAUUGUCACAGUAUCAUCUGCAUAAUAUGUUAUAUUAUUAAAUCAAUAAUUGAGACGACAAAGUUAUUCAUAUUAUUAUUUGCAAUAUUGACAAUGUCUAGAAGUUCUGUCAAGGAGAGGUUUGGUCACCUAAUUGCGCGCCAAUAAGGAGAAAUCCUUAUCGGAAAGCCCCCUCUUUCCUGGGAACGACCUGGUUGUUAAAUAUUGUGAGUUAUAAUAUUAAUGAUGAAUAAGUUCGUGUUGAUUAAAGAUGAAAUUGAUAGUUCCAUUGUGUUGGGAUUAUUAGUGUUAGUGGAAAUCGACAUUUAUUUCGAUAAUAAUUGAUGUCUGGAGGUUAUAUUGACCAAUCGGGUAAUUAAUCGGAUAAAUGAGCAAUUAAUUGCUAUUAAUUCACAUGCUUAUAACUAUUUGUUCACAUGUGUGUACUAUUGAUUCACAUGCAUGUACUAUUAGGGGAGGUGGUGCAAGAUUGAUAAUACUUGCAUGACAAAAUUAAAAAUGGAGGUAUAGAAAAAGGUACUAUACUGUAACUAUUUUUUUCACAUGUAUAGAACUAUUGAUUCACAUGAAUGUACUAUUGAUUCACAUGAUGUACUAUUAGGGGAGGUGGUGCAAGUUUGAUAAUACUUGCAGGACUAAAUUAAAAAUGAAGGAAAAGAUGAAGGUAUUAGACUGUAAUAUUUCAAGCCACAAAAUGUGCAAUUAUCGAAACUAUAUUUUUCUAUAAAUAGAGGCUCAUUCUUCUUUCAUUCUCACCAAUUCACUAAGACUCACAAGAGCAAUUAUAGAGAGAGAAAGAAGAAAAGAAGUCCGCUACCUCACUAUUCCAGUAUCCAGUCUUCUUCUAAGGUAAGAGAUAUAAUUUUUUUCAGUAUUCGUAGAAAUAAUAUUUUCUUCCAUACUCUGUAGAAUGUAAGUAAUAUUAUUUCGUUUUGUAUUCCUAAUUCUACACUCAUUCUGUUAAAGUAUUGCUUCUAUACUCCGUGAAAUUAGUAGAAUAUCCUUGAUAUUCAUGCUUCAUCCAGUAUCUUUUCAUGAAAAUAUUAUUCUGAGCUUUCUUGAUAAUUAUUGAUCUUUUCAUGCCAGGAUACUAUUCAUGAGUUACUAUUUAUGGGUACUAUUUACCCAAUUACUAUUCACUCAAAUAUUAUUCACUCGGGUAUUCGGGACACUUUUCUUGUCGGAUUACUAUUCACGAGUUACUAUUCACCCGAUUACUAUUCACACGAAUAUUAUUCACUUGGGUAUUUGGGGCACUUUUCAUGCAGGGGUACUAUUUUUGAAGUACUAUUCAUGGGGUACUAUUCACCUGAGAAAUAUAUUUAUUUUUUGUCCAAAUUAUUAUUGAUACAUGAAUAUUAUUCUUGAAUUUUACUCCACAAAGCAGUAUCGUGUUGACAAUUUAUAUAUUUUUAAACUCUGGAUAAAUUUAAAAUCUUUAAUAUUUAUCCUUGAUUUCGUUUGAUUAAUGCUUAUAUCAUUGUCAUCAUCCUCAUGUUUAUAUUGUGAUGAAAGACAUCUUUGGCUUACGUGCAUAGAUGGACUGUUGAUUGGUAUGAUUAUGACCAGGGAUCAUUCGGUAUAAUCAUGACCCGUAAUGUUACAAAUGAUGUGGUAAAAGUCCUCAUUGGCCCGUAGUGCAUUGAUGGACAAUUGUUGGUAUGAUUAUGACCAGGGAUUAUUCCGUAUAAUCAUGACCAUUGAUGAUUACAUGAAUAUCCUUGGCCCGUAGUACAGGGAUGAUUCAAUGAUGUGGUUUAUUUAUUAAGCUGAGUCUCAGCGAUAAAGUGGAUGAAAAACUUUUUAAAUCACAGAAGAUAGUAGAUAUCAUGCUCUACUUGACUCUUCUAAUGGAUUGCUUGUUCUGCUGCAGUUAAACUCGAUGUUAUUGUAUUUUAUCAGUUUAACAUUGUUGAAGGCUAACGAUAAUUUCUUAUGCAUUAUCUUAGUCAUAAUAUUUCUUACUAGGCUAGUUGAGCUCACCCUUUUGCUUUCAUUGUUCUCUUCUGGAAAUGAGAACGUAGCCGAGUCUAGUCAGGGAAUGGAGUGACGGUCCAGAUGUUUGCAUUAGUAGUCCUCACUAUUCUAUGAAAUAGUUUGAUAAUAAAUGUAUUGAGGACUUUAUUUGAGUUUGAAUACUGUCUAUGAGACAAUAUUCGUGUAAAAACUCUCAGCUACGCUGUUGUCGUUUUGUAUAAAAGAAGUUUGUAUUUGUUUUUUUUGUACCAUGUAUUUGGCGACUUAGAAUGGGUGAUGUAUACCUAUUUUGGGGGCGUCACAUUCUAGGGAUGCUGCCUUUUGGAAGGAAGCUGUAAAUGAUGAAAUGGAUUCAAUCUUGGGAAAUAAUACUUGGGUAUUGACAGAUUUACCUAGAGGUUCUAAACCUAUAGGUUGCAAAUGGGUUUUUAAAACAAAGUAUAACACUAACGGUACUAUUUCUGCUUUUAAAGCAAGAUUAGUAGUAAAAGGUUUUAGACAAGUAGAGGGUAUUUACUAUUUUGAUACUUAUGCACUGGUAGCAUGAGUUACUUCUAUUCGAAUUCUUUUUGCUUUAGCUUCAUUGUAUGAUCUUUAUGUUCAUCAAAUGGAUGUAAAGACCGCAUUUUUGAAUGGUAAUUUGAAUGAGGAAGUAUAUAUGGAACAACCCGAAGGGUUUGUUGCUCCCGGUAAUGAGGCUAAAGUAUGCCAAUUAGCUAAGUCCCUUUAUGGUCUAAAACAGGCACCAAAACAGUGGCACGAGAGAUUUGAUGCUGCUAUUAUAAACUUUGGGUUUAAAUAUAAUAAUGCAGAUAGGUGCAUAUACUCCAAAACCACUUCUAAUUAUAUGGUGAUAGUCUGUUUGUACGUAGAUGAUAUGUUAAUCAUCAGUACGAAUAUGGUUGGAGUAAAUGAGACUAAAAAGUAUUUAUCCUCUAUCUUUAAGAUGAAAGACUUAGGUGAAGUAGAUACUAUUUUAGGCAUCAAAGUUAAAAAAUAUAGUGGGGGUUAUGUAUUGAAUUAAUCUCACUAUAUUGAAAAAAUAUUAACUAAGUUUAGUCAUCUCGAGUUCAAGGAGGUGAAUACUCCUUUUGAGAAUGGAGUUAAACUCAAAGAAAAUGAGGGUAAAGCUAUUGAAUAGCUAGAAUACGCAAGUGCUAUUGGUAGCCUUAUGUAUGCUAUGCAUUAUACUCGGCCAGAUAUUUCUUUUGCAGUUUUUAAACUUAGUAGAUAUACGAGCAGUCCUAAUAUUGAUCAUUGGAAAGCUAUUGGAAGGGUACUUGGAUAUCUAAAAAGAACAGUGGCAUAGGAUUAUUUUACUAUAAAUUCCCUAGUGUUUUGGAGGAAUACUCUGAUGCAAGUUGGAUUAAUAGUGUGGGAGAUAAUAAAUCUACAAGUGGGUGGAUUUUCACUCUUGCCAGUGGUGCUGUUUCUUGGGCAAACAAGAAACAGACUUGUAUUUCUCACUCUACUAUGGAGUCAGAGUUUAUUGCUUUGGCUCAAGCAGGAAAAGAGGCUGAUUGGAUUAGAAAUAUGUUGUUAGACAUAGAUCUAUGGCCAAAUCUGAUGCCUCCAAUUUCACUAUAUUGUGAUAGUGAAGUUGCGCUAACAAGAGCGUAUAAUGGUACCUAUAAUGGUAAGUCUAGACAUAUUGGUCUAAGACAAGAAUUUGUGAGACAAUUGAUACAUGAUGGUAUCAUAACUAUUGUCUAUGUGAAGUAGGAAUUAUAUAUUGUUUGAAGAAAAGUAGUUUUUCAAACAAGUGGGGGAUUGUUAAUGCACCUUUUCCUACAUGAGUUUUGAUCAAUUUGGGGAUUAAUUUAAACCCAUUAAUUGAUUAAAUUUAUAUUAAAUUAAAAGUGCAUUUGAUAGUCCUAUUACAAGGAGAUUAAUAGAGAGUAAUAUAUGAUUCAAGUAGGAAUUAUAUAUUGUGUUUUAAUUGUAUCCAAAGUGGAGAAUAUGAAAAGUUUCAUUGUUGUUUAAGAAAACUAUUUUCUUUAAGUCCCAUAUUGAGUAGGAAUAAAACUAUUUAAUACUUUAUAAGUAUAUGUGGAAUAGUUUAAUUCACUAGUGGUACUAAAGGAAAGGCUUGGAGUUGGUCACAAUGAUGUGGUGCAAAACACCACCCGCCCGCACCUGUGUCUUGCGACCCAGGACCCGGGGCCCGUGGUGCGGGUUUGGGUCACAAAGUCGCAUCGUCGCUAGGAGCCUCGCCCGAGCCAACAUCCUCUUUUUAGCAUUGAACUAGAUUAAUAAACUUCGUUAAUGGUUAAACAGUUUUUUGUUUAAUCAUUAUGGGAUGCAAAACUGAUAUAUGAUUAUUAUAUCAUUUAUUUUGUAAAUGAUUCUUUACUCACAAUUCAGUUAUGAAACUGAAUAGUUUUCAUCUUCUUUCAUCUAUCAUCUUUACACAGCAGCAUAUAUUGAGGUUCAAAGUGAGUUGCUAUCACUAAGAACUAGUACAGACUUGACAUAUAUCCUGGAGGUGAAUUGCUAGUAGCCUUUAGUAAACCUUAGUGGUAAGGGGCAAUAAACACCUUAAGGACAGGGAAUACCCGUGUCAAAUCCUUGUUUCUUUUAAUCUGUAUUCUUUUUACUUUUUCAAUCUUAAGGUGUUUAUCGAAAUGGAUACAAAGUCUUUCAAAAUCAUGAACCAGGAUUUUGUCAAGCUCAAUCGUUUUGAUGGAAAUAAUUUCAGUCGUUGGCAAGAUAAGCUGAAAUUUUUACUCACAAUUUUGAAAAUUGCGUAUAUUUUGCACCCUAACCUUUAGCCUAUUCCAGAAGAUCCCAAACCAGUUGAAGGUCAACAGCCAGAUAAUGAUACCAUCGAAGCACUGAAAGAGCGAAGAAGGAAAAGGACUGAAGAUGAGGAAAUUACUCGUGGACAUAUCCUCAACACGCUGUCGGAUCGUCUGUACGAUUUCUACAGCAAUAUUCAGUCACCAAGGGAGUUAUGGGAGGCUUUGGAAUUCAAAUACAAGGCUGAGGAAGAAGGUACAAAUAAAUAUUUAGUAUCUAAAUAUUUUGAUUAUAAAAUGGUUGAUAACAAACCUAUUUUGGAGCAAGUGAAUGAGCUCCAGGUUAUUAUUAAUAAGUUGAGGGUUCUUAAAAUUGUCUUGCCUAAAACUUUUCAAGUUAGAGCAAUAAUUGCAAAAUUACCUCCAUCUUGGAAAGAUUUUGCUAAAAAGUUGAUGCAUAAAUCUGAGGAUUUUUUCUUGGAUCAAAUUCAGAAGCAUCUUCGUAUUUAGGAGGAGGCCCGAAAAUGCGAUGCUAAGAAUUUGAUUCAAGGACAGUCUAGUGUAAACUAUUUGGAGGUAAGAUCAUUUAAAGGGAAAGGACUUGGAGUUAAAAAUGAUAAUCAUAAGUUCAAGCAUCCUGGACAGAAAAAUAAAAAAUUUGAUCCUAAUAAGAGAAAGGUUAAGUGUCAUGUUUGUGGAGAAACUGAAGACUAUGCCAGAGAAUGCAAACAACGCAAAUGUGGCUCCGCUAACAUGGUUGAGGAGAACCUUGUUGCCAUGGUAUCGAAUCUUAGUCUUGAUGUGACUAUAAUUUCUGAAGUUAACAUGGUAAGUGAGCCGAAUGGUUGGUGGUUGGACUCCGGAGCUACUGUCCAUAUUUGUAAUAAUCGAGAAAUGUUUAAAACAUUUGAAGAGAUUAUUGGACAGGAAGUUCAGAUGGGAAAUAGUUUAGUGGCUAAAGUUGAUGGAAAAGGAACUGUGGAAGUUAAUUUCACCUCCGGGAAGAAGUUAACCUUGCUGAAUGUGUUAUUUGUAUUAGAAAUUAGAAAGAAUUUAAUUUCUGUUGAUCUUUUAGAUAGGAAAGGUUUUAAAAUUUCUGUUGAGUCCGACAAAGUCAUUCUUUCAAAGAAUGGUGUUUUUGUUAGAAAGGGUUAUGCUUGUAAUGGAAUGUACAAAUUAUCUAUUAAUAAGAACAGUUCUGUUUCUGCUUAUAUCACUUGUGCAAUUUCUUUAUGGCAUAGUUGUUUAGGACAUAUAAAUUCAAAGAAUUUGAAAAAUAUGCAUGCAAUGAAAUUGAUUGAUAUUGGAAAUACUGAACUUGAGAAAUGUGAAAUUUGUGUUAAAUCAAAAAUUAUGAGGAAACCAUUUCCAAAUGUACAUAGAGAAUCACAAUUAUUAGAUUUAAUAAAUACUGAUAUCUGUGAGUUGAAUGGAAUAUUGACAAGGGGUGGAAAAUGAUAUUUCAUUACUUUUAUAGAUGAUGCUAGCAGAUAUUGUUAUGUGUAUUUGUUGAGAACAAAAGAUGAGGCAUUUAACUCAUUCAAAAAAAAUACAAAUUUGAAGUAGAAAAUCAACUUGAGAAGAAGAUUAAAAUCUUACAUUCUGAUAGAGGCAUGAAAUAUUGUUUGAAUGCUUUUGAUGCAUUUUGUGAAGAAAAUGGCAUUAUAUAUCAAACAAGUGCAGCAUAUACACCUCAACAAAAUGGUUUAGCAGAAAGAAAAAAUCAUGUGUUUCAUGAUAUGAUUAAUUGUAUGUUAAAUCAUGCUUAUUUGUCAAAUAAUUUACGGGGUGAAGCACUUCUUACUGUAUGUCAUAUUUUAAAUAGGAUUCCUAGUACUGUAAUUAAAACUAGUCCUUAUGAAAUAUGGAAAGGCAGAAAAUCUAACAUAAAUUAUUUUAAAAUGUGGGGGUGUAUAGCUUAUUUUCGAGUUCCUGAUCCUAAAAGGACUAAGUUAGGAGCUAGAGCUAUUAGAAGUAUAUUUGUUGGAUAUGCUGAGAAUAGUAAAGCAUGCAUUCUUCUUAAUUUAUGUAGAAAGCAAAUAAAAUUCACACACAUGAAUUAGUAUAUCCUCAAGUAUUUUCUUGUCCCAACUUUGAUAGAAAAUAUCAUAAACAAUAUAUCUUUUGACAUUUACAAUAUAGAAUUCAAGACAAUUCUCAUAAUAAUAUGAAAUACUUGAGCUUCAUUAUAUUUAUAAAAAUUCAAAAAUAAAAUGUUUAUCUCAAUUAGAAUAUACAAAAUUCAUAUGAUCACAUUAAAAUUUACUACUUCUUGAACAAGAAGUACACAUAAAAAUAAGUCAACAUAUACCAAUUAUGAUUAUCCCAAAAACACUAUGAAUAUCAUUUCUAAGUGUUUUCUCAACAUCAAAAUCAUAAUAUAUACAAAAUUUACUCAACCAAAUUUACUUCUACAAUAUCUCUUCUAACUAUUAGUUGAUAAUUAAUUUAUUAUUCACAAACAAAGUAAUUUAUCUCAAAAUUCAUGCAUACAAAUACCAAGUAAUAUUACAUACUAAAUAUUACCUCUAACUUUAUAUGCAUAAUUUUGUUUAAGAAGAACAUAAAUCUACCUUAUUCUCAAAAUAAAUUAAUUUACAACUAAUUUGUUAUACAUAGAGACAAGUAAACUUCUCAAAUUUUACUACAACUUUCUCUUUAAUAAAUUAAUCUCAAUUAGUGUAUAAGAAAUUAAUUGUCUCAUACAUAUAUAUAUACACACACACAUCAUAAUAUUUUAUCUACUCAUAAAAUAUUACAACCAAAAUAUAUAUAUGCACAAAAUUAAAUUUAUUCCAUCAUGAACAAAAAUUUAAUUAUCUUUCUUAUCCCACAAAACUAAUUAAAUAAUUUAUUACAACAAAAUGUAGGUAAAAUAAUACUCAAACAUAUAAUAUCAUCUACGCAUGAUAUAAU